rnacentral:lncRNA from 1 species
UUGAGAAACUUCCUCUCAAAGGUUUAUAAAUAAAUGAUCUCACAAAAAUCCUAGUACAAGAACUUUAAGCUCAAAUGAUACAAGAAAACUAGAAUUAAAAGGUGCACUAAAGAUAUGCAAGUUUUACAACAAUGGUGCACUAAAAAACACUUUUCUAAGGCUCAAAUAUAUUCAAGAAAGGUUUGGGAAGGUUAAACUUUUUAAACAAUAAAGAUUGGAGCCUUUUUAUAGAAGAGAAAAACCAAACUAGCCGUUUGGGGGUUCGAUCGGUCGAGUUAGGGGUCGACCAGUUGACUAGCCAUUAGCAUUAAAUGUUUGGCAGGUAAUCGUUGGGCUUCAACCGGACCUCAACCGGGAAGAGAAUCUCCUCGACUGGGAAGAGAAGGUCACUAGGAGGGAGAGAAACUUUUUGGACUCCCUCGACCGGUGGUCGACUGGAUGAGCACAACUGGUCGAGCCAUUUUUUGGCUCAACACCCAAUUUUUUCAACUUAAAACCUUUUAAAACAAAUUUGAAAACAUUUAACACAAGGUUUUAGUUGAAAACAUGAAAUCAUUCAAUUCUUAAGAUAUUUAAAAACAAAAUAACACUUGGAUGAUUUUGAUGCAUAAGUAAAUAAUGUAAUGCAUGAAAAUCCUAGUGCACCAACAACCUUGCAAAGAGAUCUUAUGAAGCCGGGGUCUUUGAAAAACACUUCUCUUUGAGGUGGUCUUCUUCUUCAUGAUUUCUCCUUGGCUUGAUUUUUUUUUGUGAUUACCACUUUGGAAAUCGUCUUACCUAAUCACACUUGAAAUAUAAUCAUUAGUUCUAAACCUUGUUUUGUCAUCAUCAAAAUCAAGAUUAACCAAUCCUUAGUUUCACACAAACCAAACAAGAAUCUUGACUACAGGCUGAACUUUCAAUUUCCAAAUAAAGUUAGCUUGAGGGAAGGCAUUGGAAAAUCACUUUUAGAUCGGUAAGAAAAGGACUUUGAGGAGAACAAGCAUGGAGGAAUCAAGGAUUUAAACCUCUUACUUGAAAAAAUAGAGGACUUUUAAAGACUGUUCAAAUAAAGCACAAGAUUGGGGAUAUCAAUAAUUUCCUUAUCUAUUAAAUCACAACAAUUGAAAUUCCAGGAUGGGGAUUGGUCAAAUUCUAGAUUGUCAUAACAUGUCAUCUGAAUCUUAAUCAUGAGAUUUACAUUUUGUGCUGGUUAUGUGGAAUCCUUAUAUUUUUCCUUUUUUUUUGGGGAUCUUGUAUGCUAUGAUGUUUGUCUCAGUUACGGACACAUAUGUUAUACAUUGAACAUGCUCAUGUGGACACACAUGGUUUGGUGUUGUCUCAUAUGUUAUGCUGUUUGUUUCAGUUACGAACACAGGCACUUGCUUCUCUACACUGUGGCCUACAGAAUAACCAAGGUCUCCCUGUUGCCCAUGUUGCCAGGUGGCUUGGGAUGGAGGUACCUUUUUUUUUGGCUUGGUGUUUAUUAUUCCUAUAUCCAUUUUACACACUGAAGUUGUCCCCAACCAACUUAUCUCAAUUCUCACAUGUUUUGUGCUUUGAUUAUUGAAACCAGGAAGAAGACAUAGAAAGCCUUAUAGAGUAUCAUGGGUUCUUGAUAAAGGAAUUUGAAGAGCCUUAUAUGGUGAAGGAAGGCCCAUUUCUUAAUGCUGAUAAGGACUAUCUCACCAAAUGUUCAGAACUUGUCCAUUCAAAAAAGUCAAAUACUAUAGUUGAGGAUGUUGCAUCUUCUUGUCAAUCAAUGUCCUUGCCUUCUGCAAAAGCAACAGAGCUUCAGUUGAGUAAGGACUACAAUCAUGAGCCAAUAGCCACUGCACCUGUCGGCAAAAAUGAUUAUGACCCUGCAAUGGAUGAAGAAAUGGCUGAUUUUGAAGCUGUUUCAUCCCCAAAAGAUGGCACGCCAAUCCAGCUGAUGCUUGGGCCAUCAACAGUUUCCCAGCAGAGUGCAGAUGGCCAUUGGGUGGCAAGUGUUAGUUCAAUGGCAUGUGAUUUCGCCUUAGCUCAGAAGUCCCCUGAAUCUCAGCCAACUAAAGUUGGAAAAGUGGGGCAACCAAAUUUUGAUGCACUCUUCAGAAACUCUCUGGAGAAAAGAAGACAGUCUCACAUGGAAGCAAUGCCAUCACAGGUUGUGUCAACACCAGUUAUGCAAGAGAGAUUCCCUGUUACUGAAUUUAAUUAUCCUGUGGAAAAUUCAGUACCACAAACUGUGGUAAUUAAAGAUAUAGAAGAUGAAGAACUUACUGACAUUCACCAAGAAGUUGAAAAUGAUGUUGUGGCAAGUAGUCAGGUUGAAGAAGUCGCGGAAGCUAAACUCAAAUUGAUCUUAAGGUUUGUGGUUUGUGCAUCUGAUUUGUUUGUAAAUGAAUGUGGGGUUCCCUUACAAUAAUUAUUUUUUUGCAUGUCUCUUUGGUCAGAAUAUGGAGGCGACGUUCUUCAAAGCGAAGGGAGUUGCGUGAACAGAGGCAAUUAGCAGCAAGUGCUGCACUAGAUUUGCUAUCACUGGGCCCACCAAUUCAACAUAAUGAAGAUGUAAGUUUGUUCACUAUUUUUCUUCCCUUUUUUUUUUUGUUUUUGUUUUUGUUUUUUUGUUUCUUGUUUAAUCUUGUCCAUCCUAUCCUCUCUUGGGCCUUCCUCCUAUCUCUGUCUGAAUAAAAUAAAUAAAAAAAUUGAACUGAAAUUCUUCUCUCUCUCUCUCUCUCUCUUUUCUAUGUAAUUUACCUCUCCUCUCUUGGCUUCCAGUUUCUUAUUCAUGAAAAUUUGAGCCCAUGUCCCAUGGCUAAGCAUCAAUGCAAUUUAUAUACAUGUGAGCAAAUCUUGUAUGGGUAAUCCAACUCUUCCUUAUUGGUUUCCAAACUUUUGUUUGUUUGGCAUUUCAAAACCCAAUAAUAAGCAUCUUGUUGCCUUUUACUAUGAAAUUGAUGGGGCGACAGUCCGCAAACAAAAGCUGGGCCAGCCAUUUUAGAAAAGUUAAAUCAUAAAGGUUGUUUUGUUCUGUGUUUCCACACAUCAUUAUUUGACUGUAAUUAUGCAAGGUCACGAUUGACUUUAAUGAUUGUUUACUUACUAGAUAAGUUCCUUAUUAUGCAUUUUGGUACCUUUUUUUAUGUACAGUAGUAUUAUAGUUGAAUGACCAACUUCACUCACUGCGCAAACAAUAUUCCUUCUAUUGAUUUUUUCCUGACCUUUCAACUUAUUUUGUAUUUCUCACUUCAUUUUCAUUUUCCUCCUGUGAAGCAACCAAGCACUUUCAGUGAGUUCAAUAUUGACCAAAUUAUGAGGGAGAGAUACCAAAAACAUGAACAAUCCUGGUCCAGGCUGAAUGUUUCAGAAGUGGUAGCAGAUAAAUUGAGUGGAAGAAAUCCUGACUCUAAAUGUUUGUGCUGGAAAAUUAUUGUAUGUUCCCAGAUGAACAACCCAGGAGGAGAAAACAUGGGCCAUAGGAGCCAAGUUGCCCAUUUUGCAGCAGGUACGUGGUUGCUUUCUAAGCUUCUGCCUACCAGAAAAGAUGACGAUGCUGGUCUAGUAAUUUCAUUACCUGGCCUGUCUAUGUGGGAGAAAUGGAUGCCUAGCCAAUCUGAUGCUGAUAUGACCUGCUGUUUGUCCAUUGUUGUGGAAGCAAAAUUUGAUAAUCUAAACCAGACAGCACUUGGUGCAAGUGCAGUUCUUUUCCUUGUAUCUGAAAGCAUCCCAUUGGAGCUUCAAAAGGUCCGACUCCAUAACCUUCUGAUGUCUUUACCUUCUGGUUCAUGCUUGCCACUGCUGAUCUUAAGUGGCACAUACAAAAAGGACGCUUCAGAUCCUUCCUCUGCCAUAAUUGAUGAAUUGGGGCUCAACAGCAUUGAUAGGUCACGUGUAAGUCGCUUUUCAGUUGUUUUCCUUGUUCAAGAUCAGCAAACAGAACACACUGAUGGGUUUUUCAGUGACGAGCAAUUAAGAAAGGGGCUGUAUUGGUUGGCUAGUGAAUCACCCCUACAGCCCAUUCUUCACUGUGUCAAAACACGUGAACUGGUUCUGACCCACCUUAAUUGUUCUUUGGAGGUUCUUGAAAAUAUGAACAUAUACGAGGUGGGUCCAGACCAGUGUAUCUCUGCCUUCAAUGAUGCAUUGGAUCGAUCUCAAGGAGAGAUUUGUGUUGCAGCUGAUGCAAAUCGUACCAGUUGGCCAUGUCCUGAGAUUGCUUUGCUAGAGGAGUCUGGUCAUGAGCAUAGAGCCAUUAAGUUGUACUUGCCAAGCAUAAGAUGGAGCUCUGCUGCAAGAAUUGAACCCCUUGUAUGUGCAUUAAGGGGCUGUAAACUCCCUACUUUCCCAGAUGAUAUAUCUUGGUUGAACAGAGGUUCCAGCAUGGGCCAGGAGAUUGAGAACCAGAGAUCGCUUCUUGAAAAUUGCUUGAUCAGAUACCUCACUCAGUUGAGUAAGAUGAUGGGCUUGGCACUGGCAAAAAGGGAGGUCCAUGUCAUGCUUCAGAACAGCACCAAACUUGAGCUCCAUAAUUCAAGCUACUAUAUAGUUCCGAAGUGGGUAAUGAUUUUCCGACGGGUUUUCAAUUGGCAGUUAAUGAGUUUAUCUAGCGGACCUGCUUCUGCAGCUUAUGUUUUGGAGCACUACAGUGCUGCUCCAACAAAAUCGGGAAGUUCUGAUAAACCAGGGCUUGAAGGUAGCAGAUCAUCACCGUAUUGUUUAAUUCAUCCCACUCUAGAUGAAAUGGUUGAAGUUGGCUGUAGCCCCCUUUUAUCCAGGAAGGGUCAGUCAGAGCCCGAGCCUUUUCAACCUCUACCAAGAUUGGUUUAUGAUAGUUCUCAUGUUCAGGAAUAUAACACCAAUGAUUUGGAGGAGGAUGAAGAGAAUUUUGUUCAGGGUGUUGAGUUGGCAGAAUCAAAUGGUUAUACUUACUCAACUGAUGGAUUAAGGGCUACUGGCAGUAGAGAAUUGGUAGUGGUUACCGAGGCAACAAUGGGAGCUGGAAAAUUAAGCAAGUUGGUAGAGCAGUGUAACAGAUUGCAGAACAUGAUAGAUAAGAAGCUUUCAGUUUAUUUCUGAUAUGCUAAUUAUUCUACUUGAAAAUUUUUGUAUCUAUAGGUGCGCACGCAUGCUCUCGAAGAAUUCUGUUUCGUUUUUAAGUUCUGUAAUUCUAUUGUAAUGUUUCUUCAUGCAAUGAAAAUAAUAAGAGCUUUGAAGACAUUACUCUGGGCAGGCAUUGUGUAGAUUCACUCGCUCAAUUUGAGUAGCUAUGGCGAUGACAUGGUCAAUCUUUUAAAGGGUCACAAGGAGUGAUGUCACCUUAGUGACUAACGAAAUCUUAGCAGAGUAAAGUUUAUGCUCUUUUCCCAUAAUUGAUAUAUUCAACAACUUUAUUUAGAGAAAUUAAAAAAAAAAAUUGCUUAGAAUUAUCCAACUUCACUUAACUUUUCAAGGGCCUUAGGUUCUCAGCAAAUGAGAUAUUUCUUAAUAUUUUUAUGUUUAUCUACAAGGAAAAACUUUGGGUUUGUUGGAAAGAAAAGCUGAAAGGAAUCUGUUAAAAUGCCUUGCAGUAGAAGGGACCCAUAGCUGAAAGCCAGGGCAAUGGCUUGAGCUUGGGCUUUUGUUCUGCAAAAGGAGAAAGUGCUUCCGUUGCUGCCUUGCUGGAAUCUUUCUUUUUCUUGAUCGUAGGCCCCGAAACUGUUGCGUGCAUUCUCCUUCCAUUCGCCAAAUGUCUUUUCAUUAAAUUCUGAGCUUGAUAUGAAGUGAAGUUUCUAUUUUGAACCAACUUCCAAACUGUAAAUUCUAAGAAUGGAAUACGCACACUCAUCACUUUACAAAGGAAAUGAUCAGACACGAGCUAAACCCAUUAGGAAAGUGAAAUGGCAGGUUCUUUCGGGGAAGGACUGGAGCUCUUCACAGAAAGGAAUGCUUCAUAUUUCUGAGGAGAGGAAAGCAAGGUUGCUCACCAAGUUGGGUAGGCAAGUGGGUCACUCUGAAACCCCAUGGUUUAGUCACUUCAUAAGGAAAAACAAGAACAAGAGGAUGAAAAGCCACAUCUUAUGAUGAACAACCUCAUACCUCAACACCAUUAUUGAACCAACUCCAACCUCACAUAACACUAUUGAAUUAACCUUCCACAUCCAGAGAUGACACCUUCCAAACAUUAUUGAAUGAAAAGCAUAAUCAUUGGAACAACUGUGCUUCCUUUAAUUUCAAUCAUGGAACAUCCAAUGCUACACCAUUUGAACCAUUGAAAUUGAUAUUUCUAUAUAUAAGAUUGAGAAUGAAAUUAACAGUCCCAAGAGUACAUCUCUGAUUUAAAUCAUAACUAUUUGUGGAUAGACAUGGUUAAGUAUUGCAGCUAAACACAUUAUGAAACCUUCCACAUCCAGAGAUGACACCUUCCAAACAUUAUUGAAUGAAAAGCAUAAUCAUUGGAACAACUGUGCUUCCUUUAAUUUCAAUCAUGGAACAUCCAAUGCUACACCAUUUGAACCAUUGAAAUUGAUAUUUCUAUAUAUAAGAUUGAGAAUGAAAUUAACAGUCCCAAGAGUACAUCUCUGAUUUAAAUCAUAACUAUUUGUGGAUAGACAUGGUUAAGUAUUGCAGCUAAACACAUUAUGAAACCUGUUCUUCCUAAAUCUGAUCUAGAGGAAACACCGUCGUAUCUGUGCUCAUAUCUGAUCUCACGAUCCAUGGGUCCCAGCUUUUGUAUGUUAGCAGGUGCAAGCCAGUGGCUGCAGAAUAACCUUAAAGCCAACUUGUAUAGUUAAAAGAUCUGUGUGUCAUCAGAAAUUUAACAUGAACUUGUAGUGUGGAGAUCAGCCAAAUAAGUAGAUAGGUAUGGGCAGAACAGAAUGCUUCCAACCCCAGUAGCAUACAAUAACAACCUCCUUCCUGUUCCAUGUUCCCUGUCAAAAAUAGUUCAGUAUUUUGAGAAAAAAUAAAGAUGCUCAACUCUCCAACUCACUUUCUUAUUCUGUCUUUCCCUAUUUUAUUUUGCCUUCACCCCCUAUCAAUUUAAAAGAAGGUCCAGUGAGAUCAAAUGAAGGAUUGAAUGCAAAUAGUUACACUUAGUCUCCCUGAACACAUUCUUUGAUUGGUUCUUAAAAGUAAAUCAAAUUCCAAGACAUGGAUAUGGUACCAUUUCAAGGCAAAUGAAACAGGGCAAUUUGAGUCAACUUCAACUUCUUUUUGACCCAAUCACUGCAAUCAAUGAAGAGAAGAAAAAUGCUCAGUUUGCAAGAAAAAGGUACAUAAUUGGAAUGAAACAGAGCCUGAUUAACCCACCAUUUCCAACAGUCUAAAAUGUGUUGGAGAGGGAGCAACAAAUUGCUUGGCUUUGAUUCACUGAAAGAGCACACUAACAAAGCUGCAUAUCUGAGAAUUCACUUACCGUUGAAUGAAAAACUUCUGACCCAGUAGUAAUGGAUACAUCAGGAGUUCCUCCUCUUCCUGUCCUCAAGAUAGCCAUGGUAUUGGCACCUGACUAUACCAAUUACAAAAAAUAUUAGGCCACCAUAAAACCAAAAAAAGUGGAGUGGGAUAGAAUACUAAUGCACCCAGAUGGUAGCAGCAAAUUCUGCAAGUGAGCAAAGGAAAAAUGUGGCAGGGACACACAACAUAUUUAUUUUAAGAUUUUUUUUUUUAAAUAUUACUUUUAGUAUUGGGGUAUUUAUUUUUCUUGGAAGGGGUCCCUGUCUACUACAGUUGAGUUUAACCCAGUGGAUGAUCAUAACCAUUUGAAUCUAAGCUCUCUCUUGGAUUAAACAUGCCAAAAAUCAUGAAAUAUAAUUAACAGUAGCAGCCAACCAACGCAUGCUGUUCGUAGCAUAAACCUCUGAACUUAGACCCUGCCAAAAUGGAGGUAGAGGCUUACUUACCACUAGUUCCACCAUUGCCAACGGUGAACAUUAAUGCAGAAUUAGAAGAUAAGAUUUUAGCUUAUAGUGAAAAGAAAAGUAACGAAUGAACAUCCAAAGAAAGAUUUGAAUUAUUCAUACAUCAGAUAGGUCUCUAAUGUGUACAAUGAUGAUUGUUAUAUCAUCAGUUCGAUUUUCAUGCUCCAACCAUAGUUUGUAUGAUUCUCCAGCAAUGGCUGCACAUGCAUCUCUAGGAUCUGGAUAUCUUGCCACCUACAUAAGAAUUACCAUUAGAACUUGUUAGGGGAACAGUGGGACUGCGGGUAAUAAAAAAGUACAGUUGAAAUAAUAAGAUAAGCAAGAAUGCCACAACAAAAUUAUAAUGCUUUUGAAGCCAAAUUCUUUGUUUCAGUUUGUCAAAGUAAACUGAUCAAUAUUCACUAAAACAGAUAGCACUCUUAAUGCUAAAAUUUAGUUCUCUGACUCUAUGUUCGGGAGGAAAAAAUUCCAAAAAAUAGGACGAGAACUGCUUAAAAUGAAAAAUCAAAACCAAUUUGUCUCAAGUACUCAGAACAACAGGCUCAAAAAUACAAGUUGGAAAUGGAUAUUGCUACGCAGAGGCUCACAAGCAGUUGAAAAAAACAACUUGAUUGCCAAAUAUGGGGCAUAAAAUGUGAAUAAACUGCGGUAGACUUAUAAAUUAUAACAAAACUUUCUCUUACAUUUUCAUUGCUUCCGCAGUUAUUAUUACUUUCACAUUUCUACUAGUUAAGGCAUUAAAUAUGUCUGAUUAGAAAUAAUGGAGAUGUUCAUGGCCCAUCAUUUCUGUAAGGCAGCCAUACAAUUGAAGGAGAGAUUGACCCAAUUCAGAAAAAUGCUAAUUUUUUCCUUUUCUAAUACCAGCAUGAUUAGAAUAUAAAUUUACAUUAAUUAAUAUAGCCAAUGCAUGCAGAUAUCAUACCCCAAAUUGCGCAACUGUGAUUAUCUUGAUGCAAUUACCAACAUCAGAAAUUGUGAAGAAAAAUUGAAGUAAUAAAUUCUAGUCAGCAAUCAAGUAAUAAUAUUUGAUGUCUAAUCAGCCCUUGAGGCCUGGCUCAAGUGGUAAAGUGUUGGGGAGAGCUUGUGGGAGGUUUCAAGUUCAUGUCCCAAUGGGGCCAAAAAUUUACCUAUCAAGAAGAAAGAAAGAAAACAUUUGCUGUCCAAUCUAUUUCAAAUGGAAAUCUGGACAGAUGAAAUAUAGUAGGGAUGUUAGCACACACCUUUGGAAUGCACCACACCAAUGUGACUUACGUAGAACACAAAAAUGAGAUUAUUUAGUUUCCCAAAGCAUUUGAAAUCAAUAUACUCCAUACUAUGCAUCACACUGGUUUUAGAAUUUCACGAAAUCACCCUACUUACAUUCCUUUAUAUUGUGGACAAUGUCCCUUUCCAUGUAGCGUCUAAGGCUUCCUUUUUGAAUAUUCUAACAGGAUGGUAGAAAAGGGCAUGAUGAAAAGUUACAGCAAUGAGAUAAUGAGGAAACAGAACAAGACAAUACACAGGACAGCACACCUGGGCUUAUUUGUUGCAAGGUUUGGAUUAUAGAAGAAAAAAUAAUAUGCAAUUACAUAUUAUGAUAUUUUCUAUUCUUGGCCCGAGAUCAUAUAAAGUAUGUGUAGGAAUGUGGAAUGUUAGUGAUGCUCAACAUACAAGGACCCUUGUUUUAAAAAGAAAAGGACCAAAGAGGAGAAAGGAAGGAAGAAACAUUUGGUACUUCACUACAUUGUGGGUAUAGUCAUAGCACACUAAUGGCAAUUUGACUAACCUAGAGACUUCUAUCUACACAUUUGUAUUAAUAACAUAAUGCUUAGAUGUUAAUAUUUCCCAAUGAAAUUUUAGAGCUAAAUUCUCCAACUCCUUCACAUCUUAAGGUGAUACCUAGAAGCAGCAAGUGGUCAAGGGUCACGCCAUAUUGAACAACUUUCAAAAUUAAACAGGUGAAUCAAAUUGAAAUUAAUGACAAAAAACAGUAAAUGGAAUAUGAACAGUGAAAGACGGAUGAAGUAAAUUAAGUACAAACUAGAUUAAGGAGGGUUAUUUAUCUGUCCUAGAAUGAGUUCAUUAUCAUACCAUCUCGACAACGGUCUGGCUGGAGAGAAACUCAAAAACCCCAUCACUUGCAACAACAAAAAACAGAUGAUUGGAUGCAAGCUCAAUCAUUGACACCUCAGGAACAGCAAUCACACCAAUUUUCUCAGCUGUACCAUCUCCUACACUCCUUGUAAAUGCAGUCCCAGGGUACAUACCAUUCUGUACCCACAACCUUGGAGGAUCGCUUCCUUCAGUUUCUUCAUCACCCCAUGUUUGAAUAUCUGGGUCCUUAAGCCCUUCCACUUGAUCCACACUCAGAACCCUGGCCCCACAAAGCUUCACUCUAUCAUAUUCAUCUUUUCUAAAUGGUGUCUGAUCAUAAGACAGAUCUUCUGCAAUAAUUCGAUUCCCCUCCUUAACUGCAAUCACAGCCCUUGAAUCACCCACAUUUGCAACAAAAAGGGUAUUCCCAAUAAGAAGGACCGUAAUCGCCGUUGUACCACUCAUUGAAUCAUCUAUCUCACUAUUGUGUAGUUCGGAAUUUGUCACUAAAAAGGCUGAAUUAUAAACUUUUACAGGAUCAUCUAACAAUGUGGGAUCAUUUGAUAGUACUUCUACUAACCUGUCCUUAACAAAAUUCGAACACUGAGCACCGAAUUGCCCAUGGCCAUCAAAUACCCCGAAGAAAUGGACGUUGGGGUUACCUUGAAUUUCUGUUUUGAUGAUGUAACUGUCUUGAUUUUCUUUAUCUGGCGAGUCAGGGUAGUAGCCACGCUGCGAUAGGACCGAGUACUCCAAAUUGAAGUUAUGAGAAGGAACAGCAACACACUCCAACAACCUGUCUGAGAUUAUGUGCCUUCCACCAUACCGGCCCCUUUCACGGUAGUCCCGGGAAUCACCGUUUGAUGAUGGUGGGUAACGACUACAGCACUUUCCAUGGACACAGCCCAUGUUUCAGGACACAAUCAACCGACUAAACAAAGAAAUCCAAACGCAGCCCACGUGUUUGCAAGAAGCCCUAAGCGAAAUACAAAACGAGUUGAGCCAAACCGUGACAGAAAUGCAAAUCCUGGAGGGUUGUGUGGUGAAAUGGGCGUUGCUCGCAGUCAACAUUGUGGUCUUGAACAACGAUGCUCUGCCUAGAACCCAUGUUUCAAGAGCAGAAUUAAGCCACAAUGAGCAAACCCUAGAAACAAACAACCCAAAUAACAAAAAGGGUUGCGCUGUUGACGAGAACUAUAAUUCCCAAAUGAUGAUUGGCAUCUGGGUUAUCCUCCACAAAAGGUUUCCUACAAAAAUUCCCCAAGAUUAGAAUAGGCUAUAGAACAAGAAACGCUUGACACGAAACCCCAUCAGAGAAAAAGGGAUAAGAAAACCCUAAAUCAACCCUAAGAAGAAGCAAAAAGUAGAGACACCUUGGCCCUGAUCAUACAACACCCUUUCCUCAAACAGGACGUCUUGUGGGGUUCACACACAAUUUAAAAAAAAAAAACAUAUAUAUAAAAAAAAAAAUUUAAAACAAUGUACUUUAUUGGCGCAGAAGAUCACGGCUCAAGAAGAGAGCAUUUAAAGCAAAGAUUGAAGAAAAUGAAAACCUAAAGCAAGAGUCCAAAUGGGGUUCUGAUGAUGACGAAAUCGGGGCUUCUUUCAAGAGAGAUGAUAAAGAUUUGUCCAUCCAUGUACGCAUAUGCAACAAAGCCCAUGUCCCAAGACAAACAUGCACAGUCGAUUGUGGAUGUGUGUGUGAGAGAAAGAGAGAAAGAGAGAAGGAACAAAGGUCCAUCCAUUAAAUUGAAAUGAAAAUCCCGGGAAAGUGACAAGUGUAUAUUUUCCACGAUCCACAGAGCCAGACUCUGGUCGUCGCUCGUGUGUAACACAAUUUGUCCCUUCUCCUUUUUCACUCUUAUAAUUUAAGACCUUCCCCCAUAAUUUAAUUUACCCAUAAAUUGAAAACAAAUUUAGACUAAGCUUCCAUUUUCUUCAACCCCUCAUAUCUAAUAAGAAAAUAUUAACUUAUCGGAUCAAAUAUUAAUCAAUUUAUCAUCUAAACCAUUAAAUAUAUAUAGUGAAAUUUACAUUAUUAGAUAACGAUCCGAAUUAGGGAAAUACAAAUAAAUAAAAUCGAUAUAUAAAUAAACGUUGUAAUAUUUCACAUCGAAUAGUAGAUAAAAAUUUUUAUAUUAUAUAAAUAUGAUUUUUUUUUAAUUUUGUAGACGCAUUUUAAAAUCGUAAAAAUUCUUUAAGCUCAGAUCAAACAAUAUCACGAUUGAGUGGCAAUCAUUAUAAAUUAUAUCAAAAUCAAUUCUCAACCUGGUAUAAGAGUUUAUUUUGCCUCAUGAGGGGUAUCUAUUUGUAGGACGAUGUUGUGUUUGUAAAAGAGGUGUUUGUGAUGUCCCAUAUUGGAUAAGAGAAAAAGUUUCCAACAUUAUAUAAGUGUAGACUUCUAUUAAUUAUGUAGAGACGUUUUAAAGUUAUGAGAUUUAUUUUACAUCCAUACAUAUAUAAUGGAAAUAAUGCCUUGAGAGAAUACUAUUGAUGGAUUGGUGCAAAAAGUUGAACAUUUACAAUGAAUUAAGAUAAACCUUGAGUUCAUGAUUUGACAACCACAAAUUUCGUGGUUGUAUAGAGUGAUUGAAACCUCUUGGAGCCAUGUCGAAUUUUAAUACUAUAUGGGUAACCUUUUAUUUUGGACUUCAGGCUAAUAUUUUUUAAGUUAUAGAUUUUUUUGAAUAAAAUUAAUUAAAUAAAUAUAAUUUUUUUAUUGAACUUAAAAAUUAAUUUUUGAUUUUUGAUUUCUCCUAAGUCAAAUCCUGGCCAUUUAACAUUAUAAUAAAAAUUAAUUAAUAAGAUAAUGGAUCAUGUAUUUGUGGACCAGAAAAUGAAUAUCUUAUGAAAUUAAAAGUCAAUAUGAAAAAAGAAAAAAAAAAGAAACAGAAAAAAAAAGCCCACUUGUCCUAGAAGUUGAAGAAGGUGAUCCCACAUAUCAGGUAUGGUUGGUUUGUAUCUUAGAGCUUGUCCCAAAUGCAGUUUUGGAAGUUUCUGUAGGGGAUGAGAAUAUUAAGAUAGACACACAGUAGGUGGAAAAGUCUUGCUCAUUGGGGUUUGGUGAUGGAAGCAAAAGCCUCCAAAACAGCUUUUGGAAAAAGCUUUGGAUUGGGUAACAAACUUCAACAGCAUUAGGGACCAAACCCAUCUCUUUCAUAUCACCCUCUAGGGUUUCAGUCCCACCAAGAUUCUCACAUUUUUAGCUUUCUUUCCUUUUUUUUUUUUUUUUUUGGUUUUUUUCAUGUUUAUCUCAUUGAAUAUAUAAUAAGCACUUCCACAAAAAUUCAAAAAAUGAUGAUAUUCUCAAUUCUUUCUACAUUUUACUUGGAGUAUAUGAAAAGUUUUUUUCCUUUACUUUUCAAAUUUCUUCUGAGUCUUUACUUUUUUUUCUUUUUUAUUUUUGCUUUAUACAUGUUUGGAAAAGAAAAGAAAAGGGGAGUGUAGAAGGGGUGAAAUCAAGAAAAUAAAGGUGAAGAUGGAUAAUAGAGAGAAUAAUAAAGCAUAAGCUUACUAAAAGCAUAACUUAUGGGUGAAAAUCUUAGAUUUCAAUUGACAAGUAAUCCAAAAAAAGGGAUUUGAUUCUAAAGCAUAUGUUUGGUAUGGGUCAUUGGAUUUCAUUACAAAAAGGCCAAUUCAAGCAACUAAUGAAUGUUACAUUACCAUAGAUUAUAAUAGUAUAUAUUAUCAUAUACCUUGCUUAUGACACCUACCUAAGGAUUUAGAAGCAGAUGGGGUGCCGGUCUGGAAAACAGAAUGGGCCCAGGCUAAGCCUCAACUAUUGGGUGGGCUAGGGCUGCAAGUCAUUUUGUGGGUCUGGCUAAAUUGUGGUCCAUUGUUUCAACCCAACCCAAAUAUUGGCCUCCGGGCCCAAACCUUACUUGGGCUGCUAUAAUUGUGUAAAGGAUUUCCUCUUGUGGUGCACUUGGUGGUAAUUUGGUGGUGAUAGUGAGAGAUAAUUUGAAUAGCAAUUUGGCCACAUUUGGGAGGUUAUUUGAGUUAAUUGCUUUCCAAAAGUAUGGUUAGGCUAAAAUGAAGAGACAAGCGAAGCCCCUAUAAACUGAAACACGGGUUGCAAAACUAAAAGGGCGUCCAUGUUAAUUUCCAUUUAGUAAUGUUGGAAUGCAACAAUGAUGUUCUUAAGCCCGAUGAUGGAUCACCUAUAUGAAUUCAAUAUAUAGUUAGGAUGAUGAAGAGACGUGCUAAGCCGUUAUCUGCAAAACUAGAAGGUCGUUCGUGUUAAUUUCCAUUUGGUAAUGUUGGGAUGCAAUGUGGUGCUCUUAAGCCCUAAAAUGGAUUAAUUAAAUGAUGGUGCUUAGAAUAGGCCUAUUGAGUAUGAUAUUGAAUGCUAUAAAAGAUUUAACCCAUCCUCGUUGGAUAUCAAUUGGGAUAACAGAUGUUGAAUGCUUUCUUAGAUAAGAUGGUGAAAACCCGAUUCAAGAGGGAUAACACCACCAAAUUCCAAGGGGAAGAUAUGGAGAGGAGCGUGAAGCAACCAAGAAUUGAGAGUGCAGGAAGUGAGUAGGAAACACAAGCACCUUUUUGGCCACCAAAAAGCCAUGGAAAUAAGUGGAAAUCCUAGUAUGUCCAAAAGUUUGUCAAUAUUAGCCAACAACGGCCCAUGUUUCCAGAAUGGAUCCAAAACCAGAUAUUGGUAGGCCCACUCUAAAAAACUUGGAAAACCCACCACCCAACCCACAUAUAGUUGUUCUCUAAAAUCAUGAAUAUUAAUUAAUAAUUAAUUUUGGAGAAGCCCACUUUUGAAAGAUAUGAUAUUGAGAAGGAAAGAGAAAGAAAGAGAAAGAUAGAGAAAGGGAAUCCAAGUAGAUGGUGGAAGGGCAGGAAUGAGGAAGCUAGUGAAGCUCAGUGACCAUGCAUGGUGAGAAGCAUCAAGCAGGUGGAAUUGCGCUUUACCCAAAUCCCCACUUGAUAUCUUAAAAGUGCAGAUACGGAAUCCAUGCAUAUCCGGACACACACAAACACACCCUUCAAUCUUUUUCACACACAUCAAAUUAAAAUUAGUCAUUUCUGGUGGCUGCCUUCCCCUAAACUUCUGCUAACCAUCAUGAUCAGACACAAGAUAAUGUAUAAUAAAAACAUGUAUAAAUGAAAUUCCAAGUGUAAAUUUUGUAUUCAAAGCCACCAUCCCCAAAACCCAUUACAUGAAUAUAUCAAAAUAUUUGUGAAAUUGCUUCCCCAACAGAAAUAAUAAUAAUAAUAAUAAUAAUUAUAGCUUCACAUAUGAAAUUUCUACAACAUGAAGAGGAGAGAUGUAUGUACCAGAUGUUGUCCAAAAACCUGUUUGGAGAAGCAAUUUUGGGAAAUAUAGUAAUUCUAAAGCUAAAAGAGAAAAAACAAAGGAACCCACCAAAUGGAAAAGAAGACAAAGAAACAGAGAGAUGAAAGAAGAGAAAGACAAAAGUGAGUUAAUAUAAACCUCCAAGAAGAAGAAGAAGAAGAAGAAGAAGCAGAGCACUUUUCCCCCCCACUACACAAAACCUCAAAAUCUUAGGCGUGACAAAGCAAAGUGGGGUGCAUUAUCAUUCACACUUUGCACAUCACCAUCAUCCUCAUCUCUAUAUUCACCCACUUUUCUUUCCUUUUUUUUUCUUUUUUUUUUCUUUUUUUUCUUUUUUUGAUCUUUCUCUACACAAAGUCAACCCCACAAAUCCAUCAUCUAUAAUCCAAUUAAUCACAUAAACCCUUCCAUCACCCCUCAUCAUCACCCCCCUAAGAAUUUCUUUCUACUAAAUUCUAACUCCUACUUUCUCCGUUUCCUCUCUCACUUUCUCCGUUUUCACAUGUCUACUUCCACCAACCUCUUCUCCUUCCGGCGAGUCGUGAACGUUUGAAACACCAUGCUUCCGGCAGCCGGGAACUCGUCCACCGCGCAGCUCCGGCAUUUCAAUCCCAUCGGCUCAAGAGCGGUGGCCACGCGUGUCCACACUUCGUGGCUGGUGCAGGUGGUGGAAACGGACAUGGUUGCCGGCCGGAACACUUGCACCACCUUCUUCAGCACCUGGACGACGUCGUUUUGGUCGUCGUAGAUUGAGCCCACGCACUCGAAGCUGGCGUAGCUGUAGCCGUCCUCCGGGGUUACGUGGAUUGUGGAGUAACGGUCGCCGUCGAUCCCAUUCAUGGAGUACCCACAUGGGUCGAACGCGAAGUCGCAGAUGAGAGCGCCGGGAUUGAUGUCGCCGAUGCCCGUGAGCUCCGUCAUCUCCUUUCCGGCCACGUCGCCGGCCUUCCCAGCUCCGGGACGAAGGAAGAAUUUUCGAGCGAGGACGCGGUCGAGGUCGGUCAUGCAGACCUCUAGCGUGUACAACACAUCGGGCAUAUGCUGGAGCACCAUGUGAGGCUCGUCGCUUGCGGAGAAGACAUGCCAUGAAUGAGAAGACAUCUUGGAGGGCAUAACAGAAGCUUUUCUGUAGCAGAGAGUACUGGGCAAGCUCUGUUCCAAGUAGAUAACUUCAUCUCUAAAGCUAGUAUGGGGGAAGGGCUGCGCUUUGGGGAAGAUAAAGCUGCCUCUGGUGUACCUACACCCGCACAUAGCCAGACCCAGGUGGCGUCCAUGGUGGAGCAAUGGAGGGAUUGAUUUCAACAGCUGGGUGGUACCACAUGUCUUGAUAAUAAUCUUGGUGGGGUAGACAAACAGACUCGAUUCCGACAACACAUACGCGUCGAAGUAGUGGUUUCCCACCGCCGACACCACAGUGCAUUGCACAGCAUGCAGCACCUGCUCCAGCGACUCGAAAUCCAGGUGCCGGAGACCCAUUCCGACCACCGGGUCAUCACCGGAGAAGUGGAGCUCCAGGCGCUUCUCGAAGCCUUCGAAACCAGAGACAGCCAUUUCAAAGAUAAUUAAUGAAUACAAGACAAAGAUGAGAACAGAGCAGUAGUGGGUGGUGAUAGGUGAAAAGUGAGAAGGAGAUGAUAUACGAUAUAGAUAGGGAUGGUAUGGGGACUACAGGUGAGAGAGAGAAGUGGGAAGUGCAUGAGAUUUAUAGGAGGAGAGAGAGAGUGGAAGUGAGGGUGAGAGAAAGAGAGAGGAGAGAAGGGGCAUGCGGGUGAGGCAACCAAGAAUAAUGAUUGCAGGCAUAAUGAAGAAGAAGAUGAUAGCCUUCUUCUAUUUUUUCCAUAUUCCUUCAUUUUCUUUUUCUUUUUUCUUGGGCAAUCUCUCCUCAGACCGACACCAACAUCACAGCCCAAUUCAUGCCCACGCGCAAUUCCUCUCAAAUUUCCACUUUUUUCCCAAAUUCAUGAACAAUAAUUCUUACAUUUUUUACAUUCAGAAUCAAAAUUACAAAUUUCAGGUUCUUCCCAGUCGGUAUGGAUGAAAAAUACUUAGAUGAGCUAAUCAACUAGUCAAAAUCCAGUUCAAGUAUUGGACAUAUGAAAAAGUUGAGAGUUGUUCUCAUUUGAGAAAGAGAGAAAUUUUAGUCAAAAAGGUGGAUAAAAUUCAAAGGGGGUUCUUAGUUCUUACUUCUUAGUUCUUACUUCUUUCUUCUUUUGUUAGUCGACAUCUAGUCACUAAAAUAUUGUCAACCCUAGAUAGUUGAGAACUCUUACAAAGCAUUAGAAACAAAAACAAAAACAAAAACCCAUAAUAAUUAUUAUGAAGAUUGAGAUGUUUUCUACGCAUGACAAUAAUUAUUAGAGUUCGGGUUCUAGGGUGUUGUCAAGUAGAGACACAUGAUCUUAAAAAAGGGGGAAAACAGAGCACAAUAGAAUGGGAUGAGAUCUUAUUGAUAAAUGAGCAAGCACUUUCUCUGUUUUCUCUAUAUGCUCUGUUUGCUCUGUUUCUCAAAUCAUGGGCUCAUGGGGGUGUGUGUUGUAAAGGGUGAACACAGCUUCUUGAUGGGGACAUCAUUGUAUUUUCGCAUAUAAGAGAGAAUAAAGUAAUUGUGGAAAACAGUGUGUGUUUUCAAAAACAAGGAAAACAGAAACAAAAGGAAUCAGGCGUGGCUGCUAAAUAAUGAGAAUAUCCUUGAAUUAGGGGGAGGUCCGUACGUGAAAUUAAAGCUGCUCGCUCACAUCAUUUUUAUCCUCCCCCCAAAUUCAAAAAUAUGUGGGCAUUUCCAUCAUUUCCCUUUCUAUUUCUCAAACGCAGUGGAGAGUGGAGAGUGGAGAGUGUAGAAACAUUUUUGGGGAAAUAAUUAGUGAGGAGUUAAGAGACAGAGUUUAAUUCAAAACAGUUCUCAAAAUUGGUCAAACAAUAUAUGAUGAUUUCAAAGUGUAUGAUUGUGUCAAGUUUUUUCACCAACACAAUCUUCAAAUAAAGUUCAGACACUUGCUCUUCUAAAGUACCUAGAACUUAAGUUUGCACUCCAAGCUUAAAUUCCAAAGGGACAAACUCAAUUCUUUCUAGGGUUUUGCUUCUUUUUCAGUCCAAGGGGAAAGCAUAAUAUCAAUUUUUGAGGUCAUAAUUGGAUGGGUUUUCUUUCUUCUUUCUUUCUUUUUUGAUUGACCCAAUGCUAAGAAGGUGGUAAAAGAUGGGUCUAAGCACAUAAUUUAGUAGGUGAAUGAGGGUGAUUAUUUGCUAUAACCCUCAUUGUCUGAUAAAUUUGAGACUAAAAAAGGAUGCAUGGGGGAGAGGGGGAUUGGUAGAAGGGGGAAGAGAGGGUUNNNNNNNNNNNNNNNNNNNNNNNNNNNNNNNNNNNNNNNNNNNNNNNNNNNNNNNNNNNNNNNNNNNNNNNNNNNNNNNNNNNNNNNNNNNNNNNNNNNNGCAAUGAUGGGAAAUAGUUUUGGAGUUUAAGAAUGAAAAUGAGGGAGUUUAAUAGGGGUAGGAGCAAGAGAAUGAUUCAGAAUGUAAGCGUCAUGAAUAAUCAGAAGGUGGCUGGCAGCACCCAUUAUGACCACAUCCCACAUCUUGUGCCUGCACGCGCACCCACCAAACUCAAACACUAUCACAACCACGACACACCACACCACAAAUACCCACAUGGCAUCCAAACCCAAUCUCAAUCUCAAUCUCAAUCCAUCAAAUUUGGUCAACCACAAACCCCCCCUUAAAAACAGAUAUUUAUUAUAAUCAAACCUUACUUAAAAAGCCUCAACAAAAUCCCAUUCCCCACCUUUUACAUCAAAAGGUGUUACCUAAAUUCUUCCCCUCUUAUUAAUACCCCCAAUAGCCCAAAUUAUUUUGAGAACCACAUUCUCAUCUACCACCCGAAUCAUCAUCAUGCAGCCCUAAACCCCAUGAUUGGUCCCAGUGAUGGGGUUGGGGUUGUGCCUCCCCGACAACUUCCCUGUGGAGGCCCUACCUUGACACCACUUCAUCUUUGGUGUCCUACCUCCUUGGCACACCAGGUCCAUUGUGGGUCGAUUCCUUAUUUCAUUUAUAUAGACAUUCAGUCCCCACAUGGUCCUCCCCUGCACAACAUUUUCCUAUUUCUUGCACCCUAUACUUCUAUGCAACUUUAAGCCGCCAUACAUGCUUGCACGCGCGCAUUUUGGCAUUCCACACAUGUGCCAAAUAUGGGUUUUUUUUUCUAUACUUUUUUUUUUGGAGCACUAUGAGGCCAAGGCAUAGAAGCAAGGGAGGAAGCAGGGAGGCAGGCUUCCGUGAGUGCUACUGUACCAUGCGCACAAUGGCUGGAGCCCACCACUGUAGGAUGUGGGUGGGUGGUGAUCUCCUCCUAUAUUCUUCUAUUUGGUACAUCAUGCAUGUACAUCUCUGCCACUAUUCUUAUCAGGACUGAUCCAUAUUCUUGAUACUUCUUCUCUAAUGGAUAUGAUUAAUAAAAACAGGGAGGUUAUAAGCUAUGACAGGGGAGGGGAUUCCUAGAAGGAUAGGGUGAGGUUAAGGGGUUUAAGAAAUGAAAGCAGGAGUUUGGAGGGUGACCCCACGAGAAUGAUAACUCCAAGGUGCCUGAGCUUUCUUGAAAGAUUUUGAAGCAAACAAGACAUGUUAGGAGGUUUUAAGUGGCCAUAAUCUCAGGAUGCCCCCACAUACACACAAACACAUACCAAAUAUUCUCUCUCAUCUACACCCCCCUGCCACGGCCACACCAAAAAUCUCUCGAUGGGAUGAACCACACACGCCACAUCAUUCCUCGUGCUUACCAAGUCUCUCUCUCUCUCUCUCUCUCUCUUUCUGUGCUUCUAAUCCAAUCCGAAUCUCUCCAUUGAUCCACGCAAGCAUCAUUCUACUGUGUGACUCUCUCUCUCUCUCUCUCUCUACACACCCAACUGUCUCAUUCGCUCCUUCCUUUCACGUUACUUGCAAGUCUCUGGUCUCUCUAGCUUACUUUCUCCACAAUGAUUUUCUUCUUCCUUUUCUAACUCUACGCCCAUUGCCCAUACCCAUUACCCAUGACCCACCCCCAAAUCCAACACAUACAGCUUAUGGGCAGCAUUAAAUUAAGAAUUAAUGGCAUUCUCAUAUUUUUCUCAUUUCACGGGAUUUUCCCAUUUUAUUAACAUAUAUAACCAGUUAACCCCUCAAUCAGAGACCAAUAAUUAAAUGACAAACAGAUUGAGUUGAGGUUGAAGAACAGGACUUGCAGCAACAGCAACUACCAAUUACCCUAUGAGAUCAAAUGAUUAAGAAUGAGUAGCUAACAAUCUUUGAUCAAGGGCCUAGCAGCUCCAUGGUUUACUUUUUCCAAACAUAAUACAGUAUACUCAAUGAAAAGUUAUGUACGUCCAGAAGAACAUUUAGGAGACAGGUAUUGGGUGAAAAUGAUUUAGGAGGGUUAGAGAGAGAGAGAGAGUGGUAGUGCUGACAUAAAGAUGGUGUCAUGUUUCUGGUUCAAAGCUAGUAAAAUGGGCCAACUUGUUAGGAAACAAGUAUAUAUGGAAGUGAAAUUGUGGGGUGAGGGGGUAAAUGGCAGUGAGUGGGGUCAGGAAAAAGAGAGAGUUUCAAGAGAUUCAUCCAUGGCUCUUUUUGAAGCCCCUUGAUAAUGUCAGGAGGGGUCAGGCAUGGAUAUGUAAACAUGGAGGCCAUCAUGUUCCCUCUGCUCCAAACUCUCUGUCCUCUUCAAAAGUUGUAUUUAAUUUAUUAACCAGCUUUCUAUAUCCUGACUCAAACCCCAUUCACCACCCUCCACAGUCCACCACCCCCCACCUCCCACCCCACCUUUCUUUUAUAUUUGCAGAACACAAAAUCUCACUCAAAAUAAUGAAAAAGCUCUCCCUCUCUCUCUCACUGCUUUAACUAUUCCAAUGAGCCAGCAGAGGAAAGGGUGAUUAGGCUUUUUGAAGGGACCAAAAGAGAGGUAUUGUAUUGCCCACUUCUUGGAACUCUUAUGCAUGCCUUGUUUUUCCACUACUAGUGCUUAAAUGCAACAAACAAUAAUCUAAUGCCUAACCACAAAUGAUUACUCUACCCUCUGGGGAGGUGGGUUUCAACUUUGAACUUUGAAAACCAUAUUUUUCUCGGAAGCUGGAUUCUCUUGUGCCCCCCCUCCUCUGCUUGGCUUCCAAGAAAAUCCAUUUUUCCUUUUUUCUUUUUCCCUCUCUUGGCUCCUAGAAACUGUUACUUUGUUUUGCUGCCAAACACCCUCCGAUGGAACCCACCCACUGAUUUUCAUUAUGCUGUCUUGGCAGACAAGAAUCUAUUACUGGGCAAUUACAGAAUUGUUUACAAUGUCUGCAUAGGUGGAUAAUGAUAUCAGUAAAAGGAGUGUAUCCUAAUACAAAUUUAACAUAAUGAUUAUAGUGUUGAUAUGUUAUGAGUAAAGUAUGUGCUUAACAUGAGUGAAUAAUGCAUGUAUAUGGAUUUUAUUCUCAUCAAUGCUGCCUCUCAAAGUUUUCACAUUAAAUAUUUUAUAAGCCUCUAAAUUUUCAACAUAAAUUCCAUAUUCAUUCUCCUUCAAACACUUUUGAACACCAAGGUUUCCUCUUUGGUUGCUUAUAAUAGACAAGCAUGAGUAGAGUAAUUGGUAGCCUUCCCUUUUCAAAACCCAGGGGGAGUUCUCAUGCAAAUCAGAUACCAAAUCUCUGCUAUAAUUUUUAAGGCAAUUAAAUAUUUCUCCCAUGAGUAAAGUCUCAGCCUGACCCUACUCAAAUUUGGUCCUCGGCCAGCUCUGAGGCCAGGGUUUUUGUGUGUAAUAGGCUGAUAGGAGAUGGGCUGGCCUCUGGGAUUAAAAGCUGAGGCUCAUGGGCUGCACCCCAUUUAACAUGUUAUAUUAUUGAAAUAUUUGGUCGAAAUGGAUAAGAUAAAAUUCAUAUUUGAAAAAAUAAUUUUCAUGUAGUGAAAAUUACAAAUGUGACCUUAUUCUUAACAUUUUCACCUAAACUCUUUAUCAAAAAGUGUUUGAUUGGAGAUAGGAAUUAAAAAGUUGUUAAAAGGGUAUUUUUAUUCAAAAAAAAUUCAUUCUUUCUGCAUUUGCGUUUUCAAUAACAUUUAAUCAAGGGUUAAUUUCGUUGAUACUUGUUGAAGUAUAAUUUAAACACACUAAACUAUCGUUGGUUUCAAAUUUCGUCAAGUAACACCCCUAUAGAGUUUACUUUUUAGAGAAUUGUUAUACACGCCAACUUAAAAUAAUUCUAAAAUUAAAUUUUAUAAGCAAAAUAAAUGUAUAAUAUUCUAAUUGAAACUAAUGGUAGUCAAAUAUAUUUAUACUAUACCUCAGAGGUUUAAAUGAAAAUUAUUCAUCCUUUGAUUUCAUCGUAUUUCAUUAAUGGAUUUUGGAGGAUUUUGUGGAAAAACAAAUACUUUAGUGAUAGUGAUAUAAAUGAGUCUGAAAGACAUACUUGAAGUUUGAAACCACCUUGUUGAGGAUAAGAAAAGAGUAAGCGAUGAGAAUGAUUUUAUAAGCAUGGAGGGGAAAUUAAGGUAGCUAGGCAUGCCAUGAACACGUGUAUGCAUGGGCAUGCAAAAAUUGAUUGAAGCCAUCAACUUCACCAAUACCCCUAAAAUCAAUGAAGAUUAAAAAACCAAAGCUACAAGAUCAAGGAUUCCAUUCAAAAAUUCCAAAUAUGAAGGAAAGGAUGUAUAAUUGGUAGGGUAUUGAUAUUUGGAACUUGAAAGAAGGAAGUUUCCAAUUAAGUCAAAGAUGGAGCGCUGUUGUAUCUCUUCCUCACAAUCCAGACCAACCCGUCUCCUUCCACCAUCAAUCUUCAUCAACCUAUAUCCAACAACCCCUCAUCCCUCCACCUUCUCUUAACCUACCCUAAGCAAUGGCAGCCCUCCCCUUUCUCUUGUAAGCCUUCCUGACUCCGACCUAUUCCUCGGCAGGAUGGCCUUCUGGAGCUCCUCUAUGCUCCCACUCCUCGGCCUCCUGUCUCUCUUCUUCCUUCACCCCUUCUCUACCUCCUCCUCCGUCCAUGCCAUUCGUCUUGGUGCCGUAGUCCGUAGGCCCUCCCCGGACGUCCCCAUCUUCCGGGAAGCUCCUGCUUUCCGAAAUGGGGACGCCUGCGGUACCCGGGACGUUGACGGCAUUCAUGUCUCCAUGACCCUCGAUGCCAAUUAUCUUCGUGGUACCAUGGCUGCUGUGUUGUCCAUUUUGCAGCACUCCACUUGCCCGGAGAACUUGUCCUUCCACUUCCUUUCUGCUCAGCACGUGCCUGAGAUUGUUUCAACAAUCCAAGCUACCUUCCCUUAUCUCAACUUCAGAGUGUAUCGCUUUGAUUCCAACCGGGUUAGAGGGAAGAUCUCCAAGUCCAUUAGACGAGCUUUGGAUCAGCCUCUGAAUUAUGCCAGAAUUUAUCUUGCAGACAUACUUCCGGCCAAUGUAAGGCGGGUUAUAUACCUUGACUCGGACCUUGUAAUGGUGGACGACAUAUCCAACCUGUGGGGUGUGGAUUUGGGUGACAAGGUGGUGGCGGCACCGGAGUACUGUCACGCCAACUUCACCAAGUACUUCACCGAUGAGUUCUGGUCGAGCCCUGAAAUGGCGAAAACAUUUAAAGGGAGAAGUCCAUGCUACUUCAACACGGGAGUGAUGGUGGUAGAUGUGGAUAGAUGGAGAAAAGGGGGGUACACACAGAAAGUUGAGGAGUGGAUGGCAGUGCAGAAGCAGAACAGAAUAUACGACCUGGGCUCGUUGCCACCAUUUCUACUGGUACUUGCAGGGAACAUAAAAGCAGUAGAUCAUAGAUGGAACCAACAUGGGCUGGGUGGAGACAACUUGGAAGGGAAAUGCAGGAACCUCCAUCCAGGGCCCAUAAGCCUACUCCAUUGGAGUGGGAAGGGGAAGCCAUGGUUGAGGUUAGACUCCAGGAAACCAUGUGCAGUUGAUCAUCUCUGGGCUCCCUACGACCUCUACAGAUCCUCCAGAGUAUCACUGGAAGAAUGAGAGAGAGAGAAAGAGAGAUAGGCUGUAAGAAAAUUCAUUUCAGGGGAGAGAAACAAGUUAACAAACUAAGAGCUUGAGAGUUCAGAGAAGCAUGCAGUUUCAUUGGUGUGGAAUGAAAUUGUAGAAAUGGAGAAAGUCUUGCUCGGGCUUUUCUUCCAGAAGAGAAGGGAGGGUGGGUGGGCCGUGGGCUUUAUCCGCACUGAAAAUAUCAGGCUUAGGGCCUUUCAUGGCAUAAUGAAAGGAGGAUAAUUCAAACACGAUUUUCAAUUUUUCAUGCUGUUUUAUUUUGUUAUUCCUCUCAUUAGGUUGCUAUGAAUUGUAAACAAUGAUGAGAACCCAACAUGACCGUAUUUGUUUCUCUACAUUUAGGACUCCUUGUUUUCCUUUGUUUCCUUCUUCUGGAUGGAUUAGCAAUGCUAAUAUCCAUAAAAUCAUGCCUAAAAAAUGGGGAAAGAAAAAACAACAAUAAACACAAACAGAACUAAUCGUUUUAGGAUACAUAUCAACUUGCAAUAUAUUUUAACGUUCAUCUUACUCAUCUAAACAUGAAAAACUGAUUUUCAAAUUUUUUUUAAAACUUAAUCUAAUGCCAAAUAGGAUUAUACAUCUAUUUGUAUAUGGGGAGUUUAAUUCAAAUCAAUUCACACGUCCAACAAGAAGGGGGGGAGGGAAGCCCGAAUUCACAUAUGCCAUAACAGUAAUAGGAACGCAAACUUGUCAGGGAGGAUAAAUGGAACCAACCAUCAGCUUGCCUGAGUAAAUUUCAGCAGAUUAUUUCAGUUACAGUACUCACUUUGCUAGUAAUAUUGUCCCAAAACCAAAAAUGGAGCAGGAUGGGUCACAUGAACAAAACCAUUUUGGAAUCAUAAAAUGUCUGGAAGCAAUUUAACUUAAUUAUAAUAAAUCACACCAAGAUAUCAAAACCCAUCUUUGUAACUUCUUUCUGCUCUUAUUUGUAAAAUUGACGUCUGAACUCUUGGGGCUAUUUAUGCCUGGAGCAAUUACCAAGUCAAUGGACAAAGCAUGGCAAAGUUGACUACCCCAGCAAAUGAUUCUCACAACAAACCAGGGUUUAGUCCAUUAUACCGCCCAAGGCAUCUUUUCCCAUCAAAAUGUGUAUCUUUUUACACCCCUGACUUGCCAUCCGUCCUCUAUACUUUUACUGUUGCAGCAAAUGGGCAUUUCCCCAAUGUAUUCCACAAAAUGUAAUCCCCGGAAGUAACCUGUUACAAGUUACAACCAAACAUAAUAUUUAAUAUAUAAAUCCACAAAUAGUCUCAACAUACAAAAUUAAACAAUUAUUUAUGGCAAUUAACAGAAACAGCAGAAGACUCUUUAAGAACUUAGCUCCUGCUCUAUGAUGUGAUAACUCUAGAAAACCAGAGACAAAAGCUUAAUAAUACUAGAAACUUUUUAUAAGAAGAUAGCCCCACCUGACUUGAGAACUCCACUGGUGCUUUAACAGCCGGAUAGAUGCUUACCUGCAUACAGCAUAAAGAACAAUAAGUAUAUGAUUAGUGAAGGGGGCUGCGUUCAGAGGAAGCUCAUUGGGGUAUACAAUUCAAACUGCCCAUGUUGACAGGGAAACACCAAUUCAGAACUCUGACAUGCUACAGAGCAAAUAUUCAAGUAGUAGAAAAUGACAUGAAAAACAUACAAAAAUUCAAGUAGGAUUAAGGGGUGUCAAUUAUAAGCCCAGGUGAGCAGGUAUUCUGAUGGAAAAUCCAGCAAAUGAGUAUAAAGGCCAGAUAUUGUGGUGCUCUAUCAAUCUCUUAAGGAUUGGUCAUUGGGCAAAUCAAGAAGGGCUUCUACAAAGACAGUCAUAAAUCAAAAUAGAAAAGAUUCAUAAAAAACCAACCACUUUGGGAGAGAUACUGGCAUACACUGCCUAAGUGCAAUGGUGACAGAGACCAGGAAAUUAUUAGGUAGGAAUUUUAAAUUCUAACAAAUGAAAUAUUAAUUAAAGUAAAAAGAGAUGAUAGCAAAAUUAAGAAAGAAUAUCAAAAAAGUAAUAUCAAACAUCCUUAUCAAGCAUAUACAGCUCUAAAAAAGGAAAAUCCAGAACAAUCUGAUUUCAAAGGUAAUUGUCAAUGGCAAGCUAUGAAUCAAUAUAGCAAGACACUCCUUGCAUAUGUAGCCAUAUUCAAACCAAUUCAACUGCUGUACCCAUCUCCUUGUUACAUCAUGCGAACAGUUGAACUUGAGCAUGAGAUGAAAAUCACAGGUCAAUGGACUUACAGAUUUAGGAUCAAUAGACAUUCCAGACAAUGAUGCCCCCACAAUUUUGAAAGUCACCUGUAAUCAAGAAAUUGUCUGUCAUUAGUCAAACUUGCUUGAUUCUGAAAAGGCUGACUCUUAUAGUGUAUCAGAAAAACAUCAUACUAAACUAAGUGGUUCCAUGCAUUCAUGAUGCAUUUACUGAGAAGUACCAGUGCAUAUCAUUUAGCCAGUUACAUGCUCGAGCAAUUAUAGUGUUCUACAAUAAAAUUGCUUCCUACUCCAAAAUGUGUGCAUAGACAGGAACCAGACAUUACCAACAUCAGUACACUGGAAACUAUCAGAUAUAAGAUUAGUUCUUACUAAGCAGUAGCUUGAAAAUCCAUUAGGUUUCAUCAUAAUGUCUUUACAUAAACAAACCACUAUGAGCACCAUCAAAAUCCCACCAUAUAAGGAAACUCAACACAACUGAUCAUAUGUCAGAUUCACACGUUCCCAAACAAUGGCAUUACUAUAUUCACCUUCAUACAUGAAGGUAAAUAUAUUGAGGUUUUCUGAAAGCUAAAGAUUGAGAUGAGGCUAAAUCCAAGCUGCAGCAUCUGAUAAAGCCCAGGAAAGCAUAAAUAGAAUUUAUCAAGAAGACACCCAACAAGGUUCAUACUUAUCUCAUUUUCAUUUAGAAUAUGCCAUUUGAUGCAGAGAACAUUAACAACAAAGGGAACUGUUGUUUUUGUUAAUUCUUUCCAUUGCAAAUAUCAUAAUGAAUAUUGGGGUUUACUUAGCUUACUUUCAGUAGUUUCUAGUUAGAUUACUGUAGCACACUUUUUUCAUGCCAAUAUACAGAGUUGUAGUUCAUACUACUGCAGUGUGUAGUGUUCAUAUUAUCACUUUUGUUAAAAGUGAAACCUAUUGGUGAUAGGGAAAGUUGUUCCCAAUUCUCAACAUGCUUUUGCCAAAGCUUGGCAAAUCUUCAAUCCUGUUCUUAAGGCCACUUAUGCUAUAAACUUUAUAUUAAAGAGUUCCAAGAGAGGUGCAAAUGUGAAAAUUGGAUAAUGAGAAGCUUAUAUUAUGAAAGCUUCUAACUUUUUAUUUGGAGAAAAUAGGGUUCAAUAAAAAUGGAUUGCCUAGAUUUUUCCUUAGCUCCAAAGGCUUCACAAGGAGAUUUACUUUCAUCUUGUUUGUGUGCAUUAGUGAGAAAAACUAUACUCACCCUCACCUCAGGAGUUGUGGAGGGGUUUCUUUUACAACUGAAGGUGAACAUGAGAAAGAGGAUUAAGAUCUUGAAUAUGUUCUACGUUGAUGAUUCUCUGUUUCUUUGUAAAGCAAGUUUAGAGCAGCCACACUCGGAAAGAAAGUGAGCCGGGAGACCAAAGUCUUUCUCGGAGGAUGUUAUAUGGAAUCCAUGGGUUCCAACAAAAGUGAGUUUUUUUGCUUAAGAAGCAGGUUGGAAAGGAGUUUUAAUACAAACAAUUUAAAGAGGAGAGAAUGGACUUUGGUGAAUAGAUGUGUAAAGAUGAGAAGGAAUCUGGUGAGCACAUUCUCCUUCACUGUACCAAGGCAAGAAUUUUAUGGCAGCUAGUCUUUUCCUUGUUUGGAAUUGCAUGGGUGCUACAUUCAUCAAUUAAAACAACAUUACUAACUUUGCAAUUGGCAUGGACGUUUCAUUGGGAAGAAGAGGAAGAUAGCUUGAAAAGUCGCUCAUUUAUGUUUAUUUUAGACUAUUUAGAAAGAAAGAAAUAAGAGGGCAUUUGACAAUGUUGAGUUAUUAGAUCAAGAGCUUAAACACCUUUUCAUGUAUAUUCUUUUGGAGUGGGUCAAAGGUGGUUUAAAGGAUGGGUCUAUGUCUAUGGUAGAUUUUGCUGAUUGUUUAGAUAGCAAGUAAGAGGAGGGAUUGUUUUUGUUUUCUCUCUUCUUGUUCUUUGCCCUAUAGCACUCUUGUAUACAUCCUUAGUACUUUGUGCACCUUUUCUCGGUGUUGUUCAGUAUAUAUAUUUUUUUGAUAGGUAAAAUUGGUGCUGUUCAGUAUAUUACUUUGUUGACUAUAUUAUAUGUACAUAUAUAUAUAAGAUGUACCCUUCUAUUCAUCAAAGUGGUUUGGGUGGGAGGGUAUGUGGGUGGAUGGAUGUGUGUGGAGGAUCUUGCAGCCAUACCUAGGUCUAACAUGCAUUAGAUUCCUUCUACCCACUUGGGUUUGCUUCUAGGAUUUUCCUACAAAGUUGAAAAUAGAUUGGCAUUCAGUGGCGAAGCUUUUUGAGAAACAGUUGGCGUAGCAUAAAAAGCAAUAUUUGUUUAAGGGAGGUAGAAUUACUCUCAUCCAUAGCUCCUUUCAAGUUAGCAAUCUCUUUCAUAUCCAUCUCUUUCAAAGAGACUUUCUAUGGUCAGGAAGUAAGGAAGGCAGAGAUUUCCAUAUGAUAAAAAUAGUUCUCAAUAAAGCCAUGUGUGAAGAGUGUUUGUGGAGGUGUGCAGGUGUGGAUGGAAAUUGAAGAAAAAUUGUCAAGGAGAAGAGUUCACAGAGUUGAAAAUGGUUACAGGGAAGGAGGUUAGGUGUUCUAUUGUAAAACAUGUCUAGAAAGCAUACAGAAAAGGUUGGGAUUUUUUUAAGAUGUGAGUAGCAUUUCUGAGGGAAAUGGCUGGAAGGACCAAGUUCUAGCUGGAUGUGUGGCGUGGCAUAUGGUAUGGUGAGGAUGACCUUGAGAACAGAUUCCUCAUGUUUUACAUUUUGGCAGUUUGAUAGAGGACAUGCUAGUUCCUGAUUACCAGUGUUUGGAGUACAAGCUUGAGUGAUGAAACUUGAGAUUCCUCAAGAGUUUGAAAAACUGGCGGUUGGAGAAAGUGAAAUGGAGCAAUGAAACUUGAGAUUCCUUAAGGGUCCAAUGAUCCGAAGUUGGGGGACACAAGGAGUUCUUUAGCCUGCAUUUGUUAGCAGGUUAUGAGGAUGCAUUAAUUUGGAGACCCUCAAAAAAGGGUGGGCGUCUAAUAAUCACUUUCCCUAAUCUUCUGUUUAGAGCGCAUAUGUUCAUCCACAGAUUCCAAGGGUUUUACUUUUUACUUCUUUCUUUCCCAUUUUUUAUGUAUAUAAGUGGACCAGGGGGAAGCUACUUGGCAAAAGGUAUACUCACCAUGAGUCGUCUGAUGGACAGUGUUUGUGUGAUAGUGAAAUGGUGUUGCUGAACCAUAUUUAAUCUACAGUAAGGUGCUGAAAAUCCAGCAGGCCCUGGUUGUUCUCUUUGUAGUAGUUUCAUUGGUGAUAUCAUUCUAGUCAAAAACUCCAUUAUGGCUUAGCAUGGUAAUUUCAUAGGUAAGCAAAGGAGGUGGGAAAGAUAACUAUAUUGAGCCUCUUUUCCUAAAUAAGGCGUUGUUGGGAAAAUAAUACUGGAGAUUUGUGAGUGAAAGGAACCACCCCCUUUGGAAACAAGUUAUUGUAGAAAAGUAUGGGCAAGAAGAAGGGGGGUAUAUUAUUAAAGAAGUGAGAGAGGUGUAUGGUGUGGGUGUCUGGAAGACAAUCAGAGGCAAAUGGGAGGUGCUCAAGGAUAGAACAGAGUUCAGAGUUGGAGCUGGCAACAGGGUGAAGUUCUGGAUAGACUAGUGGUGUGGGGACACUGGUCUGGGAUUCAUUUCCAACGCUUUUUUCUAUAGCAUCCUCAAAAGAUGCUUGGGUGGCUGGCGUUUGGGAUGGUUGUAGCUAGAACCCUUGGUUUGUUAGACAGUUACAUGAUUAGGAGCUUGAGGUGGAUGUUUUUUUUAGGAGAUUAUAUGACUACUCCAUCAGGGUGGACUGUGAGGAUAUUAUGGUGUGGUUGGGGUCAAAACAUUACUGCUGAAAUACACGCUCCUUGAGUCACAUAAUUGUCGCUGGGGGAUUAUUAGAGAAGAGAGGGAUCGCCAGAUUUGGAUUUUUCAACAAGGUAGGUUUUGGUCAAGGAUUCUGCCCCAGCCUUGGUCUGCUUUUCUGUUUCUUUUUCUUUAGCCACAUUAGGCCAUUCUUUAUAGAUGUAUUGUCUACUAGGAUCUGCAUGCUGAAAGAUCAAGGUGAGCCUUAAUAAAUUAUAUAAUAGAGCAAAAAUUCCAGGCUUGAACAACCGAUCCAACAAAAAUGCAAGCAGAAGUCAAACUCAAGUUAUGGGUAGGAAAAAAUCAAGUGCUUUUGCCAACUCCACCUUAUCCUGAAAAACCGCGUUCCCCAUGCCACCAGCAACAACACCAACUCCAUUUCUAAGUGCCAAACUGCCACCACCUUUAUUGAACUCAACAUGUGAUUUGGCAAGUCAAGUUUUGCAAACUCUUACCUUUGUCAGAACAAUCACCCCUCCCAUGCCACUGCAACCAACUCAACUCCAUUCUGAGACCCAAGCCAUCGCUUUCUGUAUUAGGCACCAUCACCCACUCCUCUAGCACUUACCUACCUUCUUUGUCACCAUUUUUCCUAUUUAGAGCAACUAUUUCCAUGUCUGGGACUUCAUGAAGCCAUUAUCAACACUUAUGCUACUUGCACAGCAAUCACCAUCAGCAUAUUGAUAGUGCCACUGCUUCCUGAUUUAGAAUUACCACAUGGCAACCAUAACCAAAUCGACAAUCACCUCUUUUGACACCUUAAUUACACCACAACCACCUUCUAGUCUAGACUAUCACCACCAGCCCUAUAUCAAUCUAAAUCAAAGAAGAGUUUAACUGAUGCAAUUUAAUCCAGAUGAAUUCAAUUACCAGUGGAAGUUCAAUUCCAUGUAUCCAAACCAACCAUAAUUAUUAAUUUCAUUCGUCCCUGACCACUAUUUAUUUAUUUCCCUUUUUGCUUCUAGCUUCCCAUGAUACUAUUUGCAGAAAUUACAAAAGCUUCAACUUCAUCAUUUCAAUGCUAUGUGAAACUCCUCCUUCCCUCUCUUCAGAUCAGCAAAGACAAGUUAAACUCAUAGAUUCCUUCAAGCGCCUUGGAUAUGUAUAGAAUUUUAACUGUGAAACUCUAUGUUUGCUGCUGUUUUUUUAUCGUAUCCAAACCAACCAUAAUUAUUAAUUUCAUUCAUCUCUGACCACUAUUUAUUUAUUUCCCUCCUUGCUUCUAGCUUCCCAUGAUACUAUUUGCAGAAAUUACAAAAGAUUCAACUUCAACAUUUCAAUGCUAUGUGAAACUCCUUCUCUCUCUUCAGAUGAGCAAAGUCAAGUUAAACUUAUAGAUUCCUUCAAGAACCUUGGAUAUGUAUGGAAUUUUAACUGCGAAACUCUUCUAUGUUUGCUGCUGUUUUUUUAUCUCAUAGAACUCCAAUGUUUGUGUAUUCAUGCAACUAAAUGUGGAUAUCCAAUAAAGGUCUAGCUUUGGUUUCUGAAUAAAAUGGAAACAUGAGUAUAAACUUGAAAUAAGUGAUCUUGAUCCCCAUCAGUUUGCCUAUGAAAUGAAAUGAGGAUACGUACAUACAUACAUACAUACAUACAUACAUACAUGCAUGCAUAAAUACAUACAAAUUUUGCCUAUUAGUAACAGCACAAUAACAAGAUCAAAACAUGUCAAAAAAAAAAAACAUCAGGAGUUAUAAAUAAAUAAAUAAAUAAAAAAACACCCAAAAGAGAGACAUAAAAAAGAAAAACCAUAAAGAAGAUCUCUGCCAAAGGGUAAAUGAUAGUGAUUAGUGAGAAGGGGAGAGUGAAAGCACAUACUUUAGCAUAGUUGUAAGCCUGCCAGCAAAAUGGCUCCUCCAAAUCUGCUGGUGGAAGAUCCUUGCUCAUUUUCUCCAUUAGAAAUUCUUCAACAUUUACCAUAUUAUUAGUACUAUCUGUUUCAAAAUCACUAUCCUCAUCGGCUCCUAAGAAUGACCUAGAGGAAGGCAAUCUUUGGAUUUGCCAUGGUGCAAACUUAAUUGUUCCAGGAAAAGUUGCCUCAAUACUUCUCCCAGUGAGACCUCGUCCACCUGUUAUGAUUUUCCAUUCAACUAAGUGUUCUGUAGUUGAAACUGUUCCAAUAGAAGGAGUUCCAUCAAAAGAAACCACCCUUCGCCUCGGGAAAGGCAUUGUCACAGUACAAAACUCCAUUGUUAGAGGUGCUUUAUAACCUUCCAUCAAGCACAACUUGAAUAAAAAUGCACCUUCAUCUUCUGAGACCAUUGAAAGCUGGUAAAAUCCCUUUACUGGAGGUCCAAGGCCACAAAAUGCCUGAUAAUGCAUUAAAACAAAAUUACCUAAGGGGGGCGAAAACAUUACAGCCUGCUUAUCCACACCUUGUUCUGGAACUUGAGCACAAGGAUGGAAGGAUAAAACCUCAAUGCCAGCCUUGUUCAACCCUGUCAAGGGGAAUGACACAUCAGGCAAUCCUUCCAAUUCUGCACGACAAUUUACUUGACCAGAAAUUGAUAUGCUAUCUGGAAUCUCAUCCCGGUCAUACAUAGCAGCAUGAACUGUCUCAUGAAUAGUGAACAGCAUUCUCUGCUUUCCUUUGUAGAGAUAUGGCUUCCAUGCUGGUUGCUUGAGAUCUGGCAGAGGCAAAUCUGAGGAAGAAAAGCCAUUAACCUUAAUAGCAAAAAUAUUGGAGUAGCUGAGAUCCAAGGGAGUGCCUGUAUAUAAGAAAAACAGGCCCAUAAGAAAUAAAGACGACAUCAGGUAGCCGCAAGUUGAUCCACAAGAAAACAUAAGGGAAACCUGAGAUGAGAAAUACCAUAAUAAAAAGUACCAACCAAAGGGCAUUGAGCUAUUUAUGAAAGUUCGAAGUGCAUCUUUGUCUAGGGGCCUUGAACCAAACUUUGGAGCAUCUGAUGUAACAGCUCCAAUCACAGCAGUGCUGGAAGUAGUGGAAGCUGCAACUGGUGCAGCUACAGGUUUGGUUCUUGUAGAGAUGCCCGAUAUCCCUAUACUGCCAGUUAGUGAAUCCAGCAAUCCUCCUACAGAGGGAGACGCACUUACAACUACCUCUGGUUCUACAACAUCUCCAGUGAUUACAUCACCAAUAGCAUGUGCAACCAUACAUGCCCUGUAAAAUGGAAAAUAUAAACAGAUUUAUGUCCAUCCACAUCUAUCACUUGACACAGAAAAAGUCAAACCUAUAUCAAACUAAACCAUUCACUGAAUGAAAUGAGAUGAGAUCUCGUCAUUAAACGAGUUAUGAGAUAUUUUCAGCGAGAAGAAAGAGAAAUAUAGAAGAAGCAAUCACAUUUCAUCAGAUUCAGAGAAAAACUAGCACAUAUUCAAGGAAAAUGUAGGAUUACAUAAAAAGAGAUAAGUGUUCAAAGACAAUGCACCACAGAAUUUAACAAUCCCACCAUAUAUUACAAGUGUUCUUGAAUUGAGGGGGAAAAAAGGAAGAAGAAGAAAAGAAAAGAAAAGAAAAGAAUUCCUUGCCCAAAGCACCAUUUUGGCUACAAUAGCUUUUCUUGUAAGUUUUUUUUUAACAGAAGGGGGAAAAAGGGGAGGCUUCCAGUCCCACAACCAUCAUUGUUGAGUCCCAUAGUUUUUAAAUGUCUAACUCUCAAUAAAACCAUUAACAAAGAUUACAAACCAAAUGAAGCCAUUUUCCUAAAUAAAAAAAAAAAAAAAAGGGGGGGGGGGGGAGGGGAGGGGGUUUUUUCCUUUACUUUAAAUAUACAUAUUCAAAUUGUUAUUUUUUACUAUCUAAUUCUUUAUAUACUAAAAAUUAUAACAAAUAAUAAAUAUUAUNNNNNNNNNNNNNNNNNNNNNNNNNNNNNNNNNNNNNNNNNNNNNNNNNNNNNNNNNNNNNNNNNNNNNNNNNNNNNNNNNNNNNNNNNNNNNNNNNNNNAAAAAAAAAAAAAAAAAGGGGGGGGGGGGGAGGGGAGGGGGGGUGGGGUUUGGGGUUGAAGUUCCUAGGUUCCUAGAACAGAGGGGAACAAAUAAAAGUAAAAAUAAAUAAUACAUAAACAGACAAAAUAUGGAGAACUCUCUAAUGCAAAAAGUACAAAUAAUCGAAGUCUAAGAAUUGAUUAUACAACUGCUUUCUGGAUGUCAAAUUGAUACCAUUGAAAUCAAAAGGAAGAAAGCAAAGCACCCCCUGGGGUAUAGCUCAGGGGUAAUGCCCUUCAGCAAUGAACCAAAGGUCUUGAAUUCAAGUCUCCCUGGUAUUUAUGUGGUGUAGGAUAGAGGGGUGGGCCCAAAUCACCUGAGGUUUCCUUCGGAUAAAUGCAUUGCUAUCAGGGUUGAUUCCCCAUUUUCACCCAAAAAAAACAAAAAAAUAACAGAAAUCCUAGAAAAUAUUGUAAUCUAAGCAGCAAAAUAUCACUCGUUUCACCAUGCAUCUUUGUAAUAGCUCACAAAUUAAUCUCAGGAAAGAAAAGAAGAAGAAGCAAGUAGCAGUAUUCAUAAAGAGAAGGCACCAAAUCUGCUGGAAACUGAAGAUGAUUUUCUUUUUCACAUCCAAUAUUAAGUAUCAAUAGACAAAAUUGAAAGAAUAUUAUUCUAUUAUACUUAAUGUGUCAUGCUCCCGGCUCAAAGUACACCAAAGAAAAAGCUCCAUAUACAGAUAUAAUCCAAAAACUCUGAGAGGAAUAUCAUGCAAAAUUACUUGUCACCUUCCAGAUAAACAAAAAAUUAGAAGUUCAAAUGAAACACUCUUUUAUGAUGCCACACAAGUUAAACCCACAGACAAUGACAAAUAGCAUUGAUUAUAUAAAAGAUCCAAAUUCCGUUUGAUGCCAGAAAAAGGUAAAUUUUUUAAUCAAGUCUAGAUGUAGAGUAUCCAUAGAAGAUGAAUUUUAACAGGAAUAGAAAGGGUGAUGAACAGUGUUGAAAGAGAACUGUUUUAUCAUAAUAUGCUUGCUCAACAACACUGCAAGUAACUUACCAUACCCUGUGAUGGAUGGAAGGUCAAACAGGAGAGAUGAUAAGCUUCCAGGCACUCCAAUGGCAUUUCCACAAUCAGAUCUUCUACAUACUCCUGCAUAUGCUUUUAAAUGUUGGGGUUCAACUAAAGGCAAUACAAGGAUGCAAUAAUGGCCUUUCAUAUGCAAAAUUAAUGGCCAUAACAUAUUAUUCUCUCGUUCCUCAUCUUUGUUAAUAAAAAGGCUUAUUAUAUGACGUGUAAUUGGAUCAUCAACCCAGGAAUCUGAUCCUUCUGCUGACUGAGUUACACGUAUGCCAAACCCACGCGCUGAUCCCUCCCUACACAUACAAGCAAAGUUGCAAUAAAGACCAUUAAAAAGAAUGGGAAGGGUAUACCGCAUUAAAGGACAAGAAAGUUACCACAAUUAAAAUAAGAUCAUUUUAAAUAACUUGUAACAUAUCAGCAUAGAGUAUUAGCCACUAAACUAGGAUUAUGUCAUAUAACUGUCAAAUUGACAAUAAACACAAAGCUUAAUCAGUAUGACCAUCAAACCACAGCUUCGUAAAACCAAAUACAACCACCAACCAGAUAGUUGUUAGAACAAGAUCCAACAGGUCUCAUCCCAAACAUUACAAGUUAAACGAAGGAUGGUACAUCAAGGUUUGAGAUUAUACACCUGACAAAUCAACCUCUAUGCACUGAUGUCGGAUUUCGGAGGGGCCAGUUGAUGUAGCAGUGGAUUGCUAGAACCUUGAUCAACCCAUUGACAGGUAGGAUGAUGACGAUGGAUCUUCAAAAUUUACUCAAGAAAGGAAUGAAAGAAUAAAGAAAGCCUAAUUUACUUCAUCAAGGGUAUGUAGGUAAUUCUUAGUUUUUCAGUGGUUAUAAUUAGUUAGUAAUUGAUAGUAGAGUUUUACUUAAAAUUUGAGAAGUUUUAGAGUUCCUAUUUUCAAUCCUUAUAAUUUUUCUUUAUUGUAAAAAGUUUCCAUAAAAUAAGUUUCUAAUUCUAAAAAGAAAGUUCCAAUUUUCUUUUCAUAUUUUUUAGGAGAUUUAUUAGCUUUAGAAAAGAAAUAAAAAUCAUAAUAAGUUACUACAUAUGUUUGGUUUACGUUUCAUUAUUUUAGUCAAUUCUUAGGGUUUUCUAAAACUUUUUUUUUUUUUAUAACCAUGGAUGUCCGGGCCAGCUUACACGCACCUCAACUAAUCCCACGGGGCCCUGAAGUUAACAACCGGGCAAACCUCCAGUGGCCCUGAAGGGACUCAAACUGGUGACCAUUAGGGAGCAAACCCAAGGCCGGACCAACUGAGCUACCCCUCAGGGUUUAGGGUUUUCUAAAACUUAUAACUGAGACUAAUUCAUUUAAAAAGGAUUAAGGAUCAAUGAUCAAUCCUAUUAAGUCCUUUUUGCAUACCUUACAAUUCUCAAUAGUGAGACUCUAUUGUUUUUCCUCUAGGUGAGACUCUUCGAAAGCCAUAGCAAGACCUUAAAGUUGUUUUGUGAUAAUAGUUUUUAGAAAUAAAAUUGUGUUUAGAAAGUUAAGAAAAACAGUUUCUUCAACUUAUUAUCCAUGAAGGUAUAGUUCACUUUUGUAUGCUACAAAAGUUCCUUAAGAAUUCUUCAUAUUUUCAAUUGUUUCUCAAAAUACCCUACAAAAAAAAAAACAAAAAACAUGAAAACAUCUUAAAUUUGUCCUAAAAAAUAACAUAUUUUCAUAACAAAUUCUCUAAAAUCUAUUGCAAUCAAAAAUUUGUCAAAUGUGUUUUUUAACUUAGAAAACUUUUUUCUAUUCUUUAGGACAAAAAACUAUUUUUCAAAAACAAUUCUCAAAUAGGCUCUAAGGUUUCUAUCUUUUCUUUUUUUAUCUUUCUUUUUUCUACACUUUAUUUUACUUUUUCCAACUAUCAAAACUUUUAUUCCUCAUUCCUUUCCUUAAACCCUAAAUGAUUUAAGUCCUAGACCACCUAUUUGAUUGUAGACAACCAUCCUAAGGUUGUCCUACAUCAUAGCAACUUACUCAAUUUGGCAUUUUAAACUCAAUAAGAGGUAAACUAAGACAACAUUGUAAUUGAGUCAAACUAGGACAUUUCUUAAAGCAACAAUCAAUUGAUGAAAUGCAGUAUUGCAAUUACCUAUUGAAUUUAAUAUCAAUGCCAGCAUAUGCAGAGACAUUUUUCAAAGUCCAUCAUCCCACCUAACUGUGUUAGGGCACCAUGUGGUUUAACGUCGUCCUCAAUGGCCAUAUACAAAGUCAACCAUGCACCAUGCGUUAUGGUGGUUUUAGAUACCCAUCUAAAGAGACAGGAACAAGAAUAAUGACUCACAAAUUUUCAUUUCAAACACUUGGGCUAGGUUAACUGAUUACAAUACCAAAGGAUAAAAAUUGUGAAAAGCUGAUCAACAGCAUCUUAGUAGGAGAUGGAAGAAAAAAAAUUUCAUUUUCAUCUUGCAAGCUUGAUUUGCUUGUGCAUGAUGACAAAAGAUAAUAAGCUUCCUAGAACUAAUAGCAUGAAAAUGAAAAAUCAUCAAAAAAGAAAUGAUGAGUCCUACAAAGAGUAAGUGGUAUGUUUAAUUAAGAGAGAUCAUUGAUGGAGAAUCUAAACUUUAAGUUACUCCCGCAUCGACAUUUACUAUGGUGUCAUUUGGAUACACCUUUUUUUUAAAUAGAAAAUAGUCAUAACUCCUUUAUAAAAUGAAAGAACUCUUGCACAAAAUUUGAAAACUUACCUUCUGUUCCUAAAAACUGCUAUUAAGAUUUUUAAAAUUUAAGGUGGUACAAAUUUUUUAAUACUUAUAUUUUUUAAAACAAUUUUUAAAAACUAUAAUCUGUCUCAAUUAUUUGUAUAAAAGUUCCUAUAAUUUAUAUAGGAAAUACUACUAUUUUCUGUUAUUAAAAUAAAAAAAUAGAAAAUGCAUUUAAACAACAUGUAUGGGCAUCCAUGGAUGAUGUCCCAUGAAAAUGAAUUCGUGCAUUAAUGUCUACUUCUCUGUCCAUUACAUGAAGUAGUGGGCAUCAUCUCAAAAUAAUGUCAUUUGAAGCACUUCCAUUUCAUGAAAUCUGAGAACCAAUCCAUACCAUUAGUUCUGGUGACAGCGCUCAUCUUCCAUAAUAGGCCCACCAUUGAAACAAAUUUGAAAAACCAAUAAGCAUGAAAGGAGUAACAAUAGGAAUCAACAUAUCUUAGAUAGAAAUGCAAACUUAUGAUAAUACAGGCCUGUAAGCUAUAUCAAGCUAGAACUAAGGUUAUGAAAUAAACUUUGUAAACUCACCGCUUCUUUCUCUCCACAAAAGCAGCAGCCAGCUCUGAAUCAGUUGGAAGUAAAGGGUAUACAGUGUAAUUAAGAUUAUCGUUGCUCGAGUUUUCAUUCUCAGCCUUGCAAGCAGUGCGCCAUUGCCUCUCAACCACUGGAAACCUCCUAAUCAUUAACAAAAAUUGACGUGAAAAUCAUGCAUCUCAGACAAACUCAUUAGGGUGCUGGUAAAAUGUAGGAAAUAGGAUAAACCAAGUUUCAAAUCUCAGAUUUCCCCUUAUAAUAGGGCCCAGGAAACAUAAACCUCCAUCGAACUCGGCCAAAUGCAAGUACUUGAGUUGGCUUAAGAGGUUUUACUUUUCCCAUUUCUUUGAGAUCAGAACAAAAUAAAUCGUAUAAUUGAAUUAUGUUCAUUUCUUCUAUCGUCCUCGGUUGGGAGAGAGAGAAUUCUACUAAUCAAGGAUUGUCAACAUCCAAGAGUAGAAAACGAAGAAGAUCUGAAGUCCUAAAAUAAUGAGCACUCGAAUCUUAAUCUCUAUUCAUCGGGAUCUUUUAUUCCACAGGACAGAGCCAAAUGCAACUUCUUUUUUGAACAUAACAUAUCCAAUAUUUUUAUUUUCUUUGCACGAAAGGUAGGAGAUCGAAACAGAGAGGGAAAACCCUAGAAAGCUCCGAAGUAUAAAGCAGUCAAUACGGAGUUUGGUGGAAAACCUGGAGAAGACGACGGAGUCGAAAUUGUUAAGAAUCCAGAGAGCUCUGAUGCUACAACCUGCCAUGGAUAUCUGCGGGAGUGUUGACGAGAUUGGAGAUCGGAGAUUUGGAGAAUAGAGGAAAAUGAAAUGAAGCCAGCAUCAACAGAGAGGCAUGGGCGGUGGUUUCCCGAAAGAGGUAUAAAACGCACCGUUUUUGUCACUUAACCUAAACGACACCGUUCCAGGAGGAUAAAUGCAAGGGAGGCUCUUUCGGUAGGCCCAAAAGAAAACAAAAAACCACCGUUUUCUUCUUCUUCACACCCAAAGGCAUAAUUUAAAUGUCAUCAUUAGCAAAUACGCUCUUAGUUUAUGAUAAAAAUUACACAUUUUUUCUUCCAUUUUAUUUUCUUAAGAUCCAAACAGGGCCUUAAAAGGACCAAGAUUUUCCUUUCUCGAGUGGCAGAUUGGUUUCCUUGAAAAGGAGAUGGAAUAAAGUAACAUGAAGUCUUUAUUUAACGACAUUUUGUGUACAGAGGAUUACACCUACACUCAACAAAAGAAAAAAAGGGAAGGGAUAACUAACAAGAUUAGGAUACAACAUAUUUCAGCUUUGAUCCUGGGUUUGGUGUGUUGAGCUAAAUAGUAAAUACUAAAAGUCAGUGCGGGAUUGAAAGGUCCACACAUAUGUAGGAGAUGACUGAGCCUGCCCUUCGUCUAGUUCUCUCGCUCACUUUCGACUUCUCGACCAGGACCUUCUUUAUGUUCGGGCAGGUUGAGACGACGGUGGCAACUCCGGCUGUGGUUAUGCCUGGGCAAUAAACCAUGUGGCAGGUCUCAAGCAUGGUGCAUUUUUUUACAAGAUGGGCUAGUCCCACGUCGGUUAUUUGACGACAGUGUGAUAGCACUAUGUCCUUCAGUGAUGGGCAACCUUCUCCUAUCUCGGCCAUUGCCAUGUCUCCCAAAUUCUGCUAAAGAGGGAAAAUAGAUCAAACGAGUAAGCUCAAGAUGCACUGCAAGAGAACUCAAAUCUUAACAAGCCAAACAAUUAAAAUCAAAUUAUAUUGAUCAUUUAAACUAACAUUUGUUAUAUUAUCUGUGAGAUGACGGUGAUGUUUUAAGAUUCUAUCCCACCACGCAAAAUAGAAGUGACGUGUAUGUUGAUAAUUACUCGACACCUCGUUACACUACCAUGCAUCAAAGGCAAGUAAUAAAAGACUAUUGAGGCUUGCCGUUUGCUAAGCAGCAAUAAGCGAGAUAAGUUAGUUUCCACUUGUUCUUCGAGCAUAAUUUCUCGUGUUUCUCAACGCUUUUAUCAGCAGAUUUGGUAUUACCUUGAAAGAGGCAUGUUUCAGAAGUUUUCAGACCUAAGAUUGGCUAAAAACUGAGUUACAAGAGAAAAUGAUUUUGAUGAAGUUUUGAGACCUUCAAAUAGGGAUUCAAGGAUUUAUGGACAUGUUUCUAUUUUCAUGAUUUCCAUAAAGAAAUUACAGCUGAAGUUCGAAGGAAAAAUAGGAAAUCAGUUGCUCUGAAUCAAAUAAUACAAGUGAAAAUAUGUACAAAAGAGGUCCAGAAGUUCCUUUUAUGGAUUUUUCUUUUAUUAUUUUAGGCAGAGUUGCGGGUUAGUAGGGUGAAGACAAUAUCAGACCCUAACAGGGAUCCAAGCAUCCAGAUCAAUGCCAAUAGGCUUUAGCAUCUUGAAAUACAUCUACAGAAAUCCUUCUGUUGCUAAAAGUUCCAUUUUUUUUAGACAACAGACCAGCAGGUUAGCAAGGUGAGGACAGUGUGCAGCCCCCAAGGGGCACAGACACAUGGAUCCAGAUCAAUGCCAAUAGGCUUUGGCAUCUUUACACACAAGAAACAGAGAAAGAGAGAGAGCAUACCUGAAGAACGCUUACAUCUAGGUAACUGAGUUCUGGGCAGCCUCUUGCAAUGGCUAUUAUUCCAGCAUCACCAAUUUGGUGACAACCACUGACAUUUAGAUGAUUUAGGGAGCAACCCUGACCAAUAGCAAUAAGGGCAUCAUCUCCAACCCUGGUGAUCAAUAGUAAUGAACAAGAUCAGGAAGAAUAAUUCAGAUAAGACGUCCAAUAACACAAUGAAGAUGGCAUCAUCCCUUUGCCAAUUGUGUGUAACUUUGCUCACAAAGCGUCUAACAGAAAAGGCAAAAACAAGCACCAUGUUUUUUUUCCAUUAUGGGGCUUCCAACUUGGACGAAAUAUACAGAAAAACAUAAAACAGACAUAUUACAAAAGAAAGUGCCAGGUUUUUUUCAUAGUUGCCUCAUGACACAUCAUAAUGAACCCCUUUUAAGCUUGAAGAGGUUGAGUUUUGAACUCUUAAAGUUCAUCCUAGUCUAAGGAUCAGUAUCCAGCGUACUAAAUUACUAAUCAAUAUUUGGCUGUGCGAUAACCUGCACUUCCACAUCAUUAAUGGCACCAUAAACUACAUAUACGGCUCACCACAUCUUCCCAUAUGACAAACAAGCAAAGAGGAAGAGCAAGGAGAAUUUUCAUUCAACUUCUGAACAUAAAGAACAUAUGAAAUUUGAUGGUGCCAUAAUUUGCAUAUUAUAACCACAAGCAAAAGCACAAAAGCAUUAUAAACCUCUAAGAAAAUGAGACCAUAAGAGAGAACUGGAAGAAACUGCAUAUUAGAUUGUACUUUAUCCAGUAGCAGAGUUCCUCAGUUAAAAGGAUCCAAAAAAAGGGUAAAGAAGCAUGAAAUUUUUGAGAGAAGGAAGGACAAAGCUGAUCAGAAGUUUUUACCUAUCACAAAAUCGAAGGCUAAGAUCUUUGAGUGAUUUACAAUUCUCACCAACAGCUACAAUUCCCUUAUUCCCAAUCUAUAUGACAAAAAACAAACAUGAGAUAAUCUCUAAAACAAGAUGUAUUUACCGAAUGUUAAAAGCAAAUAUUACUUCUGUCAAAUGUAAAUAUGAGUUCCGCUAAGCAUUUUAAUCAUAAAAUAUGUAACUAUUGUAUGAAUAGUUUCAAGUAAAGAGAAGGCUCCAAAUAAAAACCAAUAAUUGCAACCUAUGUUAUAUGGGUGUUAGGUGCAGGUGUGUCUAGGUGUCUAAUUCUUCACAUCUCAAAUUUUAGGAUACAAUAAUUUGGGUGAAAAUGAAUUGUAGUAGAACAAUCUUACUAAAUGUGCAAAAUGAAUGAAAAGAAUAAUUUAACACUAUAACAGUACCUAUCAAAAAAUAAUAAUAAUUUAACACUAUAACAAUAGAAUCAUGACAAGAUCAUCAGUAACCCAUUUGGCAGGAGAAAGUAAGAACUAAUAGAACUAGAUGAAGAAAAAAACCUCAUAACAGCGGCGAAUGUGAAGUUUUUUCAAGUUUCUGCAGCCAUUAGCUAUACCACAUAUGGCAUCGUCUCCAAUACUCGAACAAUCCACCAAGUGAAGAGCUUGCAAGAAUUUGCAGCCCCUGCCUAUUUCAAGAAGUGCAUUAUCACCGAUUCUUUGGCAAUACAGCAGAGCUAACUCAGUCAGGCGCCUGCAAUUCAUAACAAAGAGCCAUAAAUUAGCAUCAUUACAGAAGAUCAAAAUAUGGAGACCUCCAGAUUAAAAACCAGUGUAAAAAAAAUGGAUAUAUUUAGCCACCCGCCAAUAAUAAAUUUUAUAAACAGCAAUACAGCUUGAUGCAAUAAACAUAUAAACACAAUAAUAAAUUUUAUAUUAAUCAGGAGCAGAUUAUAACACCAAUGGUUUCACUAUUGUAGAGUUGAUUUAUUCUUACGAUAUGAUGCAUUUAAAAGAACAUUUUAAAAGAUGUAAAAUCAUCAUGAAAAGCAAUAUUAAUAUGUAGCAGAAAGGAAAGCUCACAAAGCCUCAAAGGGAGAUGUUAAAUAGAACUUCAAAAAAGGACUUUCAGUUAAUACAUCCAUAUUGUUACCACUAAUGACACUUAACAAGAUUAAGCCAGUGAAAGAGAUACAUACAAGCAAGAUUUUCCAACAGACGCUAGUCCAAGUGUUCCAAUAUUGUGACAUCCAUUAACUUCAAGAUGUAUAAGUUCAGAACAACCAGUUGCAAUUGCCUCCAAACCCUUGUCACUCAAGAAAUAACAGUCACUUAGAAUAAGAUUCUUUAACUUCUUACACCCUUUUCCAAUAGCUGAUAGACUCCUGAAAAUUUAUUGUACAAAUGUUCAGAACAUGAGCAUCAAGAAAAUGUUUAGCCACGUCACAAUUAGCAGAAUUAAUCACAGAAAAUAGGAAGACUUAAACCUUAUCAUUUUUAAGAGACAAAUCAGUGAAAUACAAAAAGGUACAAUGAGGCAGAGGAAGAGAUUCAUCGAAAGAUAAUCCAAUGGCACUUCCAAAACUAGCUUAAAAACUGAAUGACUUUUACCGAACCUCAAUCUGUGAUCAUUUAACCUGAAGACCAGAUACGAUAAUGUUUUAAGCACAACCUAAGUCAUCUCAUGUUUUCAUGAAAAUUCAUAACAAAAGAAAGACAAGAAACAAAUAUUAAUAGAAAAAUAAUUGUACGUGCUUGUAAGCCUUGAAUGUCUUCAUGUGGUUGACAGCACAAACGAACAAAUCAGUCAAUAACGGGCAUUUAAUUGCACAAUAAACUUAAUAAACUUGUAAAAAAAAAUAAACGGCUGGUUUUAGUUGACAUUUCAGGUGAUUUACUUUAAUUAGGGCAACUAUGGACGAAAAAAAAUCUAAAAAUAAAUAAAAAAUAAACAAAAUCCAUGAGAAUUAACUGACCUGUCGGUGAAUUUCUGGAAGCUGUACAGAGCCAACACUUCCAGUGAUAAACAACAGGUGCCAACAGCUUCCAAAGCUUCGUCUGUCACAUUAAUGCAUAGUAGUUUCAGAACUUUCAAAAGACGGCAACCUUCCGCCACAGCAAGCACCCCUUCAUUGUGUAUGAAUUCUGAAUCCAAUGACAACGUCUCAAGAGAUCUGCAGUGAGACCCCACUGCUUCCAAUGAGAUAUCAGUUAUUUUUGCACAAGCUGCAAUACCAAGAACUUUCAGUGAUUUCCCACAACCAAUUGCUAAUUCAACCAAACCCUUGUCCGUCAAGCCUUCACAAAAACGCAAAUUCAAAUCUUGAAGUUCCUUGCAACACUCCCCAACAGCAGCUAGACCUUGAUCUCCAACAUAGCAACCCUAAAAAAAGUAACAACAAAAGAGAGGGCAUCAAUUACCGCACGUGACACAGCAUGCAUGAUAAGCUAGAGAUGGAAAAAGGAUGUGAAAAGAAAGUAGUAGACCUGCAACUGCAGUAGACAAUCCAUUCCAUAUGGAUCAUGCAGUAUCAAAAUCCCAGAAAGAACAAAUGAUUUAUCCAAUAAAAUUAAAGACAUUUCCAAGAUUGUCGUCAUUACAGGUACAUUAGCCUUAAAACAACCAUCAUAAACCAUGGAAAGGGUAAGAAUUUGCAGUCCUCAGUAAGGAACUUUAAAGCAUAAUUGUCACAUUAGAGCCCCAUAUCAAGCUCAAAUUAUCGUUGACAUUUGAGUCCAAAUGUUACUGAAGGGAUAGUAAAGCAAGAUUUCAAACUACAUUAACUAGGUUUAGAAAGAGAAUGUAGGAAUAACAAAUGAUACAUCACAAUAGUGGAAAUAAGACUUUAAAUAUUAAACCCAGUUUAAAUGAGCUCACGUCAAUCAAGAAGUCGGUUAAAUAUGUGGCUUAAUAUGAUAUCUCAUCAUUAAUAUCUAAAGAAAGCCUUAAGUUGAUGAGUAUAGAUUCACCUGCAAAUCUAAAGAUCUCAAGGAUCUACACUUCCCGGCAAAGGAUUGCAAGCCCAUACUAGUUACAUUAGAGCACCAUAUUAAACUCAGCUUCUUAAGUUUGGUAAAGGCUUCACCAAGAGCAAUCAAUCCAGCAUCUGAAAAACAGUUUGAUUCCAACUCACUGUCAUCAGAUUCACCUCUCUCAAUCAUAUAGUGCAGGUUAAGAGAAGAGAGUGUUGAUUGGCUGCCACCCCGUCUUCUUCCCUACAUAAUAAAUUUGAAAAGAAAAAUGUAUCAAAUUCUUAACAAUUGAAUCAAUCAAAUAGUAGAUCAUUGUCCAAAAUUCUUUCAUGAGGAAACACCAGAGAAAUUAGACUAAAAUAUGUGCAAAUAUGUAAUGGGGCUAUCCACUUGCAACUGAAAAUGGGAGUUAUAAGGAAUGGUUACCAUCAUUGUGAGCAAAACCUAAUAGUUAGUGUAUGCAAACCAAAAAACGAGAGGGUGUCAUUGCAUGGUAACAGACGGAGAAUUUCAAAUCAAACGUAUAAAAUUCAAAAUUCUAACCGUUUUUAUUGCCCUGCAUUUUACGCAAACAAAAUGGAUCAUCUAAGUCCUUAUACUGCAAAGCAAUUUUAAUUUUUUUUCCACCUCCCGAAUUUUCUUGGCACCCAAAUGACAUCCAUCUCCGUACACCACGACGAAUUAAAAACAAAACAUUACCCUUUCCCCAUAACUAUAAUUUCCCUUUUCUUUCGCACAUUUUCCCAGCCACUAAACGGACCAUACAAGUCCUCACACCGCGUACCAAAUUCACAAGACGGUAAACGCCCUUCCUCCGUAACUUAAAUCCAAUAUCUCCACCCUAAAAAACAUGAAACCCUAACAUCCCAGACACAACUAAACUUACCAACUGAACCGGAUGCGAGACUGAGAGCCUCUCGUCAACGUAAAGAUUCUUGACAUUGACAAACCGCCUCGCCAGCAGCUUGACGAACGAAUCAGGGCUGCCGGACGCGCCGAUGCGGAGCGUGCGGCGACUGUUGCGCUCGAGGGCGAGCCAGCGCUUGCAGACGAGAGCGCAGGCGUCGCGGCUAGACUUGGAGUGCAUGUGCCGGAAAAUCUCGAUGAUGAGCUCAUCGGGAAGAUAGGAGUUGAUUAGAUCGUGGCCUUUCAUUGGCGACGACCAAGCCUUUUCCUGGCUAAAAAAAAAAAAAAGAGGAGAGAAAUGUGAAGAGGACAGGAAGAAUUGGAGAUACAGCAGUAGGACUGGCGGCGGCGGUGGCGGUGGCGGUGGUUUAGGGGAGAAGAAGCGGUGGAGCGGGCGGUUGGGGAAGAGGAGGAAUAUAGGUGGGCUUUAUGUACCUGCUUCUGUAAGCUUCCUGUGUCUCUCGGCCCUCAAGGCCAAAUAGCCAACACUCCCUCACUUUCUUUUUUUGACUGCUUUUCGAUAAUUAUAUCUUCUCCAUUCGGACCAAAAACAUUUUUUCCUUCUCCUUCUUCUCCUUCUUCUCCUUCUCCCUUUGCCUGCCUGUCUUUUUCCUUUUCUUUUUUUUUCCCCUCUCUCCCUUUUUUUCUUUCUCUUUUUUCCUUGUUUCCAAAAUAUAUGAAAUUUUAAUUUAACGUCAAUAUUAAAUUUAAGGUAAAAAAAAAAACAAAAAAAAAAAAAAACAAAAUCCGAAAACAUCUAAAGUUUUUUAUGAGUUGUUAUUUUUAUUUUUUCUUUUUUUUUCUUUUUUCUGAUUUACUUUAACAAUUUUGUUUUUGUAUUAAUUUAAGAAUAAUUGGAGUAAAAAAAGUCAACUUGGUUUCCAACUAUAUAAAAUUGUGAUAACCAAAGUUUUUUAUUUUUCCCCAAAUAAUUUAAUUAAAUUUAAAAUUGUGUAGAAAAAAUAAAUAAAAAUCUUGUUUUAUUUGUCGCCUAAUGGUGACAUGGAAGGAAUGAAAAGUAAGACGGAAAAAAUGCACCAAUAAAUAACAGUAUAGAGACACAAUGAAAUAACACAAGAAAAAUAAGUGAUGCAUAUAUUUAUAUAGAAGAUAAAUAUUGUAAGUGAAAUGCAUGACAAAUAAGAUGUUUUUAAAAAUAGUUCAACGUUGCAUUAAAAUUUGAUGUUUUUUAAAUAACUUAAUAUCACAUCAAAAUCACAGAGAUAAAAAAUGAAACAACGUAAAUAAAGCAUACGAUGAAAUUAAAUCCUUUUAAAAGGAAAAUUAGAUCUAUGAUAGUUAAACAAAUGAUGAUAAUGGACGAACCUACCGACACAUGAUAGUCCGUACCUUAAAUCCUCUUAAAAGACAUGAUAGGAAAAUGCGAUAUUUUUAUACCUCAUAUCCCCCCAAAUGACUUGUACCUAACAUCUUCGAUGAAUAACAUUACUACUUGAGAAUGUGAAAUGAUAUAUACGUGCUUCACAAACAUAAUUAAUCAAGUAAGCACUUUUAAUAAAAUGUUUUUGAUAUAAACUUAUUGCAUCCAUCUUAGAUAUUUUGAACAAUAAAUAUAUAUAGAAAGUCGUUUUAAUGAAAAAUGUUUUUUUAUCUUUAUAAAGGAUUUCCACUUACUCAAACUUGGUCGAGCUAUCAAAUAAUCACUUAUUAUAAUUUUUUUUCUACUAUCACCCGAUUUGAGCCAUGUUUCAUCAUUGUUAGAGAAGUGCAUGACAAAGCAAUUUAUCUUUUAAAUAAUUCAAUAUGACAUUAAAAUCAUAUAUUUUUCAAAUAACUCAACAUCGCAUUAAAAUUGCACAAGCAAAAAAUGAAACAACAUAAGCAAAGCAUACGAUGAAAUUAAAUCAUUUUAAAGGAAAAUUAGGCCUAUCAUACUUAAACAAAUGAUGAUAAUCAAAGACCUAUAUAAACACGAUGGAUAUUUAUCUUAAAUCCCCAUAAAAUGCAUAAUAAGAAAACACGAUAUUUUUAUCUCUUAAAUCCCUCGAAAAGACUUAUACCUAACCUCUUCAAUUAAUAAACCGACUUAUAUAUGCAUAUAUAUCACAAACGUAACUAGGCAAGUUAGCACUUUUAGCAAAAUGUUUUCAAUACGAUCUUAUUGCAUCGCUUUGAGAUAUUUUGAACGAUAAAUACAUAUAGGAAGUUGUCUUAAUGAAAAUGUUCUUUAUUUUUAAUAGAACAUUUCCAUUUAUUUAAACUUGAUCAACCCAUUAAAUAAUCACUUAUUAUAGUUUUUUAAAACUUUAUUCAAUUUUCAUUUUUAAAAAAUAAGUUACGGAUGGAAGAUGAUAAUAUAUUUUAAUUGUUAAUUUCAUUUACUUCAUUUUAAGUUUUGAAAAAAUACACUUAUUUUAUUAGUUUGAAAUUCCAUUAUAUAUUUUAAUUUUAAAUAAAUAGAGACUAGAUGUAUUAGUCGAAGCCGACAAAAAGGUGAAUGAAAUCAACCCGAUAUUUUUAAGAAUACAAAACAUCUUUUAGAAUUGAAUUUUUAGAGCCUCAUGCCAUGGUAAUUUUUUUUUUUUCCUUGCGUUUUCCUUUUUUUCUUACCUUAUUUUUUCCAUCCGUCCAAACACAGCAGUGUUAGAAAGGUAGAUCCCCGGCAUUCUCCUGGAAUGUCCAGUCAAUAAUUGUAAAAUCCCAAAAUUGAUUAAGGUAGAAAAUCACAUUUAAACAACUACCCAUUACACGAACAGGCGAUCUACACCCGGAAAGCUUCAAGGCGAAUCAACCCAAAUUCCAUUUCUCUGGUGAAACAUCUCCACAGACGGAGGUGAUCUUCCGUGGCAAAAGUGGGAAUUUGGAGAGAAUCCCAUGUCGUUCUCCUUCUUCAAGGCCUCCAGGCCUAAAACCCCUCAGGAACUCGUGAAGGCGAUCAAGGACAGCCUGAUGGCUCUCGACUCCAAAACCGUUGCUGAAGUUAAAGCCCUUGAAAAGGUUGUUUCCCUUGUUCAUUUCCACGCAGGACUAUUUUUCUCUGCAUUGACGAUGAAUUUCUCACUGGGUACUUUGAUUAAGUUAAUACAACAUGUUUUUUCGAUUAAUGGGGUUGCUUGUUUUGGGGCUUAGUGGAGGUGGCUCUACCGCAUUCAUCGAUCGUCGAUUAAAUUUAAUCCAUUGGUGUGCUGUGGUGCUUGAUAGAGGAAUAUCCGAGUCGGGUUCUGUUUGUUGGAUGCUACAAUUGGGUACUAGCGGGGGAGGGCUGUCUGCAUGAAAUGGACACAAUGUUUGAAUUUUGGAUUGAGUUCAAGGAAUUUUCCAUGUAUUGACGAUGAAAUUCUUAAAUGGGUACUUUGAUCAAGUUAAUAUAGCAAGGUUUUGUGAUUGGUUGGAUUGCCUUUUUGGGUUCAGUAUAGGUGCUCACAUGGGGUUGUAUUGCAUGCUUUUUAUGUCUUUUCACCACAUUCAUCAUUUACUGAUUAAAUUUCAUCCAUUGGUAUAGCAUAGUGCUUGAUGAAAUAUUUGAAGUGGGUUGAGUUUGCUGGAUGGAACAAUGGGGUAGUACCGCAUGGCAGGGAAGUGGUGUCUGUUUGAAAUGUAAAUAAUGUUUGUACUUGGAUCGAGUUUAAGAAUGUUUCCUAUAUCAGUGAUUAAUUUCUUAAAUUCUGAUUAAGUUAAUAUGGUACAAAUUUGUGAUUGAUUGAGUUGCUUUUUUUUUUCGUGAAGGCUUAGUAGAAUUCCUCAAAUGGCAUUAUAUUGCAUGGUCGCUGUAAACUACAAUUUUUGCAGCAUAUUCAUUGGAUUAUAGAUUAAAUUUCAUCCAUUUGCAUGCUUUGAUGUGGGACCUGUUUGCUGGAUGCAACAUUUGGGUAGCAACAUGUGGCUAGGGAGUGGUUCAAGGAAAUAGUGUUUGAAUCUUGGAUAAGCAAUGUUUGAUAUCAAGUUUGGCAGUGAUCGAAGUUUAGCAGGGUUUAGGGCUAAAUUCAUUAUGGACUUAUCACUUCCCUUUUAAUCUUACCUCCAGUGAAUUGAAGACUCAUAUCUAAGGCUAUUUUAGAAACAUGAACUUUGGUAAGAAAUUUUUUUCUUAAAAAUAGUAUUGCCAUUCCCACAGAACACUAUCUAGUGAAACUGUCGUUCAAUGGCUUUUUGGGUGGCUGGGCAUGCCCCAAUUCUAUGCUUUAUAAAUAUUUAAAGAUCUUGGUUUUGCUUUUUGGAAUAGAGAGUUGAGUCUGGUAGGAUUUAGAGUCAAUUGAGGACAUAGUGAGGGAAUUUUGUAUGAGAUGGUUUGUCACAGGCAGAAAAAGGAGGGAGUUGAAGGUGUAAAGAGGUGAAUGAACGACACAACUCUAAUGGAGUUGAAUUUCAAAUAGAAUCCAUGCAAUUUACCCCAUGUUAUUGGGAUUCGGUUGAUGUUGAUUUGAAUUGUGUGUGUUUUGCACACAUCGAUUCAAAUUGGUAACAAAUAAGUUUGUAUCCAAAAAAUAUACAGAAAAAAAGGAAUGCAAAAAAAGGGAAUUAAAAGAACAGCAUAAUAACGUGACAGAUGAAAACUUUGCUACAUGCCAUUGUAUGAAAAUGCUUUGAGGCUUUCCUUUAAGUAUACCUAGACCUUUUGUUCUCUGCAUGCACAAAAUUUGUUAACCAUGUCAGUUCUAAUGUUCCUGUUUCUGCUAAGGACCCAUUCCCAAGUAAAUAAACACUGUUAUAUGAGUUUAUCUCUGGAUGUUAUGAUCUCCAUGCGUUGUCAAGUCAAGCAAGUUGGAUGAUUGCAGGUGUCCCAAUUGUCACCAUGUUUAUUACUUCCUCAAGUUGGAAGAACUGAAAAACCAAAAACACCCAAAAUUGCCACUUAAUAGUAGAAAAAUAAGCUUGUAUUGUGACUUUGUGAAAAUAUUGGAUAAGUAGCAGAAAAACAAUUUCUUUCCAAUGCUCAAGAUGUUAAGGGCAAUGGAUCCUCUUGCCCAUUACUUAUUCAUAACAGUAAUGACAGUAGUACCUCAAUUUUUGCAAGGGGUUGUUGAUGGUGGUCUCAUGAAAGGGUACAAGGUGGAGGUAGAGGAGGCAAAGGGGUUGAGAUUUCACACCAUGUGUUCUAAGGCAUUGUCUGGCUUGAAGGGUAACCUAGUUGAAAGUGAUUUCAUUCCAAUUGGGAGGGUGGAUGGGCCUGAGAAGUUGGCUAAUCAUAUGGGCCAUAGAGUGGGGAGUCUUCCCACAAAAUAUUUGUGUUUACGAGCCCAAGGCUUAGCGGGUGGUAUUUUGGUUUGCUGGGAUAAAAGAUCUUUGGAGCUGUUGGAGAUGGAGGUGGGUAAUUUCUCUAUAUCGUGUAGGUUGAAGAAUGUUGAAGACGGAGUGGUGUGGAUUUUUACUGGAGUUUAUGGGCCGUGUAACAGGAAGGAGAGGGAGGAGUUGUGGGAGGAGUUAGGUGCGAUAAGGGGAAUUUGGGAAGAGCCUUGGUGUUUAGGAGGGGACUUUAAUGUUACCUUAUCUCAAAGGGAUAGGAGCAGGCAAGGUAGCCUUAAUGGAGCAAUGCGUAGGUUUGCUCAGGUGGUGGAUGACCUUGCCCUUAUUGAUCUCCCUUUACAGGGGGGUGUGUACUCUUGGAGUGGGGGCAGGAGCAACCAGACUUGGGCUAGAUUGGAUCGCUUCCUGGUAUCCCAGGGUUGGUUAGAUAUUUUCAGGGGGGCUAUUCAGUGUAGGCUUCCUAGGCCUACCUCUGAUCACUUCCCCAUUUUGUUGAAGGGGGGUGGGAUGAGCUGGGGACCCUCUCCGUUCAGGUUUGAAAACAUGUGGCUCAAGGUGGAUGAGUUUAAGGAGCUCCUUCGGGAAUGGUGGCAAGAAGGGGAAAGAGUAGGAAGGGCUAGUUUUAGAAUGACUGCUAAAAUGAAGGAGAUGAAGGAGAAAAUUAAAGUGUGGAACAGGGAUGUUUUUGGUAGAGUGGAAGUGAACAAAAGCUCAGCCCUUCGGAAAAUUGAGUUUUGGGACAGGGUGGAAAGUGGUAGGGACCUCUCAGAAAGAGAAACGGAUCUGAAAAAUGAAGCUAAGGAGAACUUCAAGAAGUGGGUUCUUUUGGAAGAAGCCCAUUGGAGACAAGUGUCUAGGGAGCUGUGGCUUAGAGAAGGAGAUAAGAAUACAGGGUUCUUUCACAAGAUGGCUAGUGCCCAUUGGAGAAAUAACUUUUUGGACAGAAUUAAAAUAAAUGGGGUGGAAUUAGUGGAGGAGCAGGAGGUAAGGGAGGGGAUUGUCAAGACCUUUCAGCACCAGCUAAGGGAAGAACCAGGGUGGAGAGCCGACUUAGAGGGGCUGCAUCUUAAAAGUCUUGACCUUAGUGAAGCUGAAGCUUUGGAGCCCCCCUUUACUGAAGAAGAAAUAUUCUCUGCUCUGAUGGAUAUGGAUGGCGAUAAGGCCCCUGGCCCGGAUGGGUUUACCGUGGCCUUUUGGCAAGCUUGUUGGGACUUCGCUAAGGAGGAGAUAGUAGAGCUGUUCAAGGAAUUUUACGAUCAGAAGUCAUUUGCCAAAAGUCUGAAUGCUACUUUCUUGGUCAUCAUCCCAAAAAAAGGUGGGGCUGAGGGCCUACGGGAGUUUCGGCCUAUCAGUCUGCUAGAGGGGCUGUACAAGCUUAUGGCCAAAGUGUUGGCCAAUAGGCUGAAAAUGGUGUUAGACAAGGUGGUUUCGGCUGAUCAGAAUGCGUUCGUGAGAGAGAGACAAAUUCUAGACGCCUCUCUCAUAGCUAACGAGGUGGUUGACUACUGGCAGAAGAGGAAAGAAAAGGGGUUGAUGUGCAAAUUGGAUAUUGAGAAAGCCUACGACAGCAUCAGCUGGAGCUUCCUUAUGAAGGUCUUGAAAAAGAUGGGCUUUGGGUCGCGUUGGAUGGAUUGGAUGUGGUGGUGUUUUUCAACGGCAAAAUUUUCUGUCCUUAUUAACGGGGUUCUAGCAGGCUUCUUCUCCAGCUCUAAGGGUCUGCGCCAAAGAGACCCAAUUUCUCCUUAUCUUUUUAUCUUGGGCAUGGAAGUGCUGAGUGCACUCAUUAGGCGGGCAGUGCAGGGGAACUUCAUUUUUGAUUGUAGGCUAAAAGGUAGAGGGGAUGCGGAGAUUAUGGUGUCUCAUCUGCUCUUUGCAGACGACACUAUUCUCUUCUGCGAGGCCAGCAAGGAUCAAUUAACUCAUCUUGGAUGGAUUUUGGCGUGGUUUGAGGCGGCUUUUGGGCUUAGGAUCAACCUGGCCAAGAGUGAGCUGAUUCCAGUAGGGGAGAUUGAUAAUAUUGAGGAAAUGGCGGUGGAAUUAGGCUGCAGAAUUGGAAGCUUUCCGGUUAAAUACUUGGGGCUGCCCCUUGGGGCCCGACACAAGGCCUUGUCCACGUGGGACGGGGUGGAGGAAAGAAUGAGGAGAAAACUUGCUCGUUGGAAAAGGCAAUACUUGUCUAAGGGCGGGAGAAUCACCCUUAUUAAGAGCACCUUAGCUAGCAUUCCCAUUUAUCAAAUGUCCAUCUUUAGAAUGCCUACUAAAAGGCUUGAUAAAUUACAAAGAGAUUUUCUUUGGGGAGGGGGAAACACGGGUAGGAAAAUCCAUUUAAUUAAUUGGAAGGUGGUGUGUACUCAAAAGGAGAAGGGGGGUCUUGGUAUUAGGAGGAUGGGGUUAUUGAACAAGGCCUUAUUGGGCAAGUGGAUUUGGAGAUUUGCCGUUGAGAAGGAUGUCUUGUGGAAGAAGGUGAUCGGGGUGAAGCAUGGGUUGGAGGGCUGUGGUUGGAAAUCUAAGGAAGCUCGGGGGCCCUUUGGAGUGGGAGUUUGGAAGGAGAUUUUAAAGGAGAUGAGCUGGUGCUGGAAUAACAUGGAGUUCAAGGUGGGGAGGGGGACUAAGAUCAUGUUCUGGACUAAUCAUUGGUGCGGCGACGAAGCGCUGUCCCAAGCGUUUCCCCAGAUUUUUGCCUUGGCAGUGGGCAGAAAUGAAUUGGUGAAUGAUGUGUGGGACCCAAGGCUUGGCCAAGGAGGGUGGAAUCUCAGAUUGGUUAGAGAUUCUAAUGAUUGGGAGCUAGUGUUAAUAGAAGAUUUGCUCUUUUUGCUAAGGGACAUCAGGGUAACCCUAGAGGAGGAUUCAGUGCUUUGGAAAGGAGGGGAUUCUGCCAGUUUUCGGAUUCGGGUGGCUUACAAUCUGCUGGCAGCCCCUAAUCCUCUUGUUUUUCCGGGAAAAAAUAUUUGGGUGGAUAAGGUCUCAACCAAAGUGGCUUUUUUUUGCGUGGGAGGCUACUUGGGAAAAAAUCCUCACGUUGGAUAGGCUGCAAAUGCGUGGGUGGCAGCUUCCAAAUUGUUGUUUUUUGUGUGGUUGUGAAGAGGAAAAUGUAAAUCACAUUCUUUUACACUGUACAGUGGUUAGGACCCUUUGGGAAAUUGCCUUUGCCUUAUUUGGGGUUCAGUGGGUGUUUCCAGAGAAGGUCAAAGAGGUGUUGUUCUGUUGGCGGGGCCCUUUUGUGGGUUAAAAAAGGAAGAAGAUAUGGAAGACCAUUCUGUUAUGUAUUUUUUGGACGGUGUGGAAGGAAAGAAAUAGGUUAGCUUUUAGAGGGGGUCUUUUGGCUAUUCAGACUCUUAAGAAUUCUUUUGUAUGUAGUCUGUGGAGUUGGGCUAAGUUGUAUAGGGGAGAGGAGUCCUCUUCACUUCUAGGCUUCUUGGAGUGGGUAGCGGUCCCCUAAGGGCUGGUGAGGUGUUCCUGUUUAUGUUUUUUUGGCCUUGUGGCUGCUUUGUAUACCUCUUGUAUGCGGUGCGGCCUUUCGGCCUUCUUUAAUAUAUUUUCUGCUCUCGCUUAUCAAAAAAAAAAAAAAAAUUUGUGUUUACAUCGGGGCGUCAUUAAGUCUCCUUUGUUGUAGGAUUCAGUUGAGAAAAGAUUCAAAAGAGGGCUGACUUUUUGGAAAUGGCAAUAUCUUUCUA